rnacentral:lncRNA from 1 species
UUUUUUUUUAUUUUUUUAGCCCGGUAAAAUUGAUUUUCGUAAAAAAACAAAAAACAUGCCGAAACGGCAAUUGACACUGCUCAAUCCCAUUAUUAGUGGUCAUAAAAUGGGGAAUGUUGUAUCUGAAGAUGACCCCUUCCAUGAAGUUGAUUCUGGUUUUCUCAUCACACCUGGAGAUCGGUUUAGCCUCGAUCCACUUGGUGAACGUGUUGACUACUACAAGGAGAUGAGUGAAACCUCCCCAGUAGUCUUGGCUGAGCCCACCAUACCGAUACCUCACUGAUCAAAGGGGCAUGCAAGCGGUAUGGUCUUCAAAUCGGAAGCUGACAUAUGAGUGCACUUAGCAUACAUCUGAAUAAAAUAUGCCCUAGAGGCAAUAAUAAAAGUUGUUAUUUAUAUUUCCUUAUAUCAUGAUAAAUGUUUAUUAUUCAUUCUAGAAUUGUAUUAACCGAAAACUUAGUACAUGUGUGAAUACACAGACAAACAGAGUGUCACUAGUAUGCCUCUACUUGACUAGCUCGUUGAUCAAAGAUGGUUAAGUUUCCUAGCCAUAGACAUGAGUUGUCAUUUGAUUAACGGGAUCACAUCAUUAGAGAAUGAUGUGAUUGAAAAGACCCAUCCGUUAGCUUAGCACAAUGGUCGUUUAGUUUGUUGCUAUUGCUUUCUUCAUGACUUAUACAUGUUCCUAUGACUAUGAGAUUAUGCAACUCCCGAAUACCGGAGGAACACUUAGUGUGCUAUCAAACGUCACAACGUAACUGAGUGAUUAUAAAGAUUCUCUACGGGUGUCUCCGAUGGUGUUUGUUGAGUUGGCAUAGAUCGAGAUUAGGAUUUGUCACUCUGAUUGUCGGAGAGGUAUCUCUGGGCCCUCUCGGUAAUGCACAUCACUAUAAGCCUUGCAAGCAAUGUGACUAAUGAGUUAGUUACGGGAUGAUGCAUUACGGAACGAGUAAAGAGACUUGCCGGUAACGAGAUUGAACUAGGUAUUGAGAUACCGACGAUCGAAUAUCGAGCAAGUAACAUACCGAUGACAAAGGGAACAACGUAUGUUGUUAUGUGGUUUGACCGAUAAAGAUCUUCGUAGAAUAUGUGGGAGCCAAUAUGAACAUCGAGGUUCCGCUAUUAGUUAUUGACUGGAGAUGAGUCUCGGUCAUGUCUACAUAGUUCUCGAACCCGUAGGGUUCGCACGCUUAACGUUCGAUGACGAUCGAUAUUAUGAGUUUAUGUGUUUUGAUGUACCGAAGGUUGUUCGGAGUUCCGGAUGUGAUCACGGACAUGACGAGGAGUCUCGAAAUGGUCGAGACAUAAAGAUCGAUAUAUUGGAAGGCUAUGUUUGGACACCGGAAUGGUUCCGAAUGAGUUCAAGCAUUUUCCGGAGUACCAUGAGGUUACUGGAACCCCCCGGGGAGUCAAUGGGCCUUAUUGGGCCUUAGUGGAAGAGAAGAGGAGGCGGCCAGGUGGAGGGCGCCCCCCCCCCCAAGCCCAAUCUGAAUUGGGGUGGGGGCCGGCCCCCCUUUCCUUCUCUCCCUCUCCCUCUUCCUUCUUCUCCUACUCCAACUAGGGAAGGGGGGAAACCUACUCCUACUAGGAGUAGGAAUCCCCCUUGGGGCACGCCAUAGAGAGGGCCGGCCCUCCCCUCCUCCACUCCUUUAUAUAUGGGGGAGAGGGGCACCCCAUAGACACACAAGUUGACAGUUGUCUUAGCCGUGUGCGGUGCCCCCCUCCACAGAUAUCCACCUCGGUCAUAUCGUUGUAGUGCUUAGGUGAAGCCCUACGUCGGUAAAUUCCUCAUCACCGUCAUCACGCCGUCAUGCUGACGAAACUCUCCCUCGGCCUUAGAUGGAUCAAGAGCACGAGGGACGUCACCGAGCUGAACAUGUGCAGAUCGCGGAGGUUAUGUGUGUUCGGUACUUGAUCGGUUGGAUCGCGAAGACGUUCGACUACAUCAACCGCGUUACUUAACGCUUUCGCUUUCGGUCUACGAGGGUACGUAGACACACUCUCCCCGCUCGUUGCUAUGAUUCUCCUAAAUAGAUCUUGCGUGAUCAUAGGCAAAAUUUUGAAAUACUACGUUCCCCAACAGUGGUAUCAGAGCCAGGUCUAUGCGUAGAUGUUAUAUGCACGAGUAGAACACAAAGAGUUGUGGACGAUAAUAGUCAUACUGCUUACCAGCAUGUCAUACUUUGAUUUGGCGGUAUUGUUGGAUGAAGCGGCUUAGACCAACAUUACGCGUACGCUUACGUGAGACUGGUUCUACCGACGUGCUUCGCACACAGGUGGCUAGUGAGUGUCUAUUUCUCCAACUUUAGUUGAAUCGAGUGUGACUACGCCCGGUCCUUGUUGAAGGCUAAAACAGCACACUUGACGAAAAAUCGUUGUGGUCUUUGAUGUGUAGGUAAGAACGGUUCUUGCUAAGCCCGUAGCAGCCACAUAAAAUUUGCAACAACAAGUAGAGGACAUCUAACUUGUUUUUACAGGGUAUGUUGUGAUGUGAUAUGGUCAAGACGUGAUGAUAUAUAAAUUGUUGUAUGAGAUGAUCAUGUUUUGUAACAGUUAUCGGCAACUGGCAGGAGCCUUAUGGUUGUCGCUUUAUUGUAUGAAAUGCAAUCGCCAUGUAAUUGCUUUACUUAUCACUAAGCAGUAGCGAUAGUCGUAAUAGCAAUAGUUGGUGAGACGACAACGAUGCUUCGAUGGAGAUCAAGGUGUCAAGCCAGUGACGAUGGUGAUCAUGACGGUGCUUUGGAGAUGGAUAUCAAAGGCACAAGAUGAUGAUGGCCAUAUCAUAUCACUUAUAUUGAUUGCAUGUGAUGUUUAUCCUUUAUGCAUCUUAUUUUGCUUAGUACGGCGGUAGCAUUAUAAGAUGAUCUCUCACUAAAUUUCAAGGUACAAGUGUUCUUCCUGAGUAUGCACCGUUGCUAUAGUUCAUCGUGCCGAGACACCACGUGAUGAUCGGGUGUGAUAAGCUCUACGUUCACAUACAGCGGGUGCAAGCCAGUUUUGCACGUGCAGAAUACUUGGGUUAAACUUGACGAGCCUAGCAUAUGCAGAUAUGGCCUCGGAACACUGAGACCGAAAGGUCGAGCGUGAAUCAUAUAGUAGAUAUGAUCAACAUAGUGAUGUUCACCAUUGAAAACUACUCCAUCUCACGUGAUGAUCGGACAUGGUUUUGUUGAUUUGGAUCACAUGAUCACUUAGAUGAUUAGAGGGAUGUCUAUCUAAGUGGGAGUUCUUAAGUAAUAUGAUUAAUAGUAAUUUAAUUUAUCAUGAACUUAGUACCUGAUAGUAUUUUGCAUGUCUAUGUUGUUCUAGAUCAAUGGCCCGUGCUACUGUUCCUUUGAAUUUUAAUGCGUUCCUAGAUAAAGCUAAGUUGAAAGAUGAGGUAGAAACUACACGGACUGGUCCGUAACUUGAGGAUUAUCCUCAUUGUUGCAUGGAAGAAUUACAUCCUGGAAGCACCGCUAGGUGCGAGACCCGCUGCAGGAGCAACACCAGACGUUGUGAACGUCUGGCAGAGCAAAGCUGAUGACUACUCGAUAGUUCAGUGUGCCAUGCUUUACGGCUUAGAACCGGGACUUCAACGACGUUUUGAGCGUCAUGGAGCAUAUGAGAUGUUCCAGGAGUUGAAGUUAAUAUUUCAAGCAAAUGCCCGGAUUGAGAGAUAUGAAGUCUCCAAUAAGUUCUACAGCUGUAAAAUGGAGGAGAAUAGUUCUGUGAGUGAACAUAUACUCAUGUCUGGGUAUCAUAAUCACUUGACUCAGCUGGGAGUUAAUCUUCCAGUUGAUAGUGUCAUUGAAAGAGUUCUUCAAUCACUGCCACCAAGCUACAAAAGCUUUGUGAUGAACUAUAAUAUGCAAGGGAUGGAUAAGACAAUUCCAGAGCUCUUCGCAAUGCUAAAGGCUGCGGAGGUAGAAAUCAAGAAGGAGCAUCAAGUGUUGAUGGUCAACAAGACCACCAGUUUCAAGAAGAAGGGUAAAGGGAAGAAGGGGAACUUCAAGAAGAACAGCAAACAAGUUGCUGCUCAAGUGAAGAAGCCCAAGUCUAGACCUAAGCCUAAGACUGGGUGCUUCUACUGCAAAGGGGCUGGUCACUGGAAGCGGAACUGCCCCAAGUAUUUGGCGGAUAAGAAGGAUGGCAAAGUGAACAAAGGUAUAUGUGAUAUACAUGUUAUUGAUCUGUACCUUACUAAUGCUCGCAGUAGUGCCUGGGUAUUUGAUACUGGUUCUGGUGCUAAUAUUUGCAACUCGAAACAGGGACUACGGAUUAAGCGAAGAUUGGCUAAGGACGAGGUGACGAUGCGCAUGGGAAAUGGUUCCAAAGUCGAUGUGAUCGCCGUCGGCACGCUACCUCUACAUCUACCUUCGGGGUUAGUUUUAGACCUGAAUAAUUAUUAUUUGGUGCCAGCGUUAAGCAUGAACAUUAUAUCUGGAUCUUGUUUGAUGCGAGAUGGUUAUUCAUUUAAAUCUGAGAAUAACGGUUGUUCUAUUUAUAUGAGUAAUAUCUUUAUGGUCAUGCACCCUUGAAGAGUGGUCUAUUUUUGUUGAAUCUCGAUAGUAGUGAUACGCAUGUUCAUAAUAUUGAAGCCAAAAGAUGCAGAGUUGAUAAUGAUAGUGCAACUUAUUUGUGGCACUGCCGUUUGGGUCAUAUUGGUGUAAAGCGCAAGAAAAAACUCCAUACUGAUGGACUUUUGGAAUCACUUGAUUGUGAAUCACUUGGUACUUGCGAACCAUGCCUCAUGGGCAAGAUGGCUAAAACUCCGUUCUCCGGAACAAUGGAGCGAGCAACAGAUUUAUUGGAAAUAAUACAUACUGAUGUAUGCGGUCUGAUGAAUAUUGAGGCUCGCGGCGGGUAUCGUUAUUUUCGGACCUUCAUAGAUGAUCUAAGCAGAUAUGGGUAUAUCUACUUGAUGAAACAUAAGUCUGAAACAUUUGAAAAGUUCAAAGAAUUUCAGAGUGAAGUGGAAAAUCAUCGUAACAAAAAAAUAAAGUUUCUGCGAUCUGAUCGUGGAGGAGAAUAUUUGAGUUACGAGUUUGGUCUUCAUUUGAAACAAUGCGGAAUAGUUUCGCAACUCACGCCACCCGGAACACCACAGCGUAGUGGUGUGCCCGAAUGUCGUAACCGCACUUUAUUAGAUAUGGUGUGAUCUAUAAUGUCUCUUACUGAUUUAUCGCUAUCGUUUUGGGGUUAUGCUUUAGAGACGGUUGCAUUCACGUUAAAUAGGGCACCAUCUAAAUCCGUUGAGACGACACCUUAUGAACUGUGGUUUGGCAAGAAACCCAAGUUGUCGUUUCUUAAAGUUUGGGGCUAUGAUGCUUAUGUGAAAAAGCUUCAACCUAAUAAGCUCGAACCCAAAUCGGAGAAAAUGUGUCUUCAUAGGAUACCCAAAAGAGACUGUUGGGUAUACCUUCUAUCACAGAUCCGAAGGCAAGACAUUCGUUGCUAAGAAUGGAUCCUUUCUAGAGAAGGAGUUUCUCUCAAAAGAAGUGAGUGGGAGGAAAGUAGAACUUGAUGAGGUAACUGUACCUGCUCCCUUAUUGGAAAGUAGUUCAUCACAGAAAUCAGUUCAUGUGACUCCUACACCAAUUAGUGAGGAAGCUAAUGAUGAUGAUCAUGUAACUUCAGAUCAAGUUACUACCGAACCUCGUAGGUCAACCAGAGUAAGAUCCGCACCAGAGUGGUACGGUAAUCCUGUUCUGGAGGUCAUGUUACUUGGUCAUGAUGAACCUAUGAACUAUGGAAGCGGUGAUGAGCCCAGAUUCUGCGAAAUGGCUUGAAGCCAUGAAAUCUGAGAUGGGAUCCAUGUAUGAGAACAAAGUGUGGACUCUGGUUGACUUGCCCGAUGAUCAGCAAGCCAUAGAGAAUAAAUGGAUCUUCAAGAAGAAGACUGACGCUGACGGUACUGUUAUUGUCUACAAAGCUCGACUUGUUGCGAAACGUUUUUGACAAGUUCAAGGAGCUGACUAUGAUAAGACCAUCUCACCCGUAGCGAUGCUUAAGUCCGUCCGAAUCAUGUUAGCAAUUGCUGCAUUUUAUGAUUAUGAAAUUUGGCAAAUGGAUGUAAAAACUGCAUUCCUGAAUGGAUUUCUGGAAGAAGAGUUGUAUAUGAUGCAACCAGAAGGUUUUAUUGAUCCAAAGGAUGCUAACAAAGUGUGCAAGCUCCAGCGAUCCAUUUAUGGACUGGUGCAAGCAUCUCGGAGUUGGAAUAAACGUUUUGAUAGUGUGACCAAAGCAUAUGAUUUUAUACAGACUUUUGGAGAAGCCUCUAUUUACAAGAAAGUGAGUGGGAGCUCUGUAGCAUUUCUAAUAUUAUAUGUGGAUGACAUAUUGUUGAUUGGAAAUUAUAUAGAAUUUCUGGAGAGCAUAAAAGGAUACUUGAACAAGAGUUUUUCAAUGAAAGACCUCGGUGAAGCUGCUUAUAUAUUGGGCAUCAAGAUCUAUAGAGAUAGAUCGAGACGCUUAAUUGGACUUUCACAAAGUACAUACCUUGCUAAAGUUUUGAAGAAGUUCAAAAUGGAUCAAGCAAAGAAAGGGUUCUUGCCUAUGUUACAAGGUGUGAAGUUGAGCCAGAAUCAAUGCCCAACCACUGCAGAAGAUAAAGAGAAAAUGAAAGUCAUUCCCUAUGCUUCAGCCAUAGGUUCUAUCAUGUAUGCAAUGUUGUGUACCAGACCUGAUGUGUGCCUUGCUAUCAGUUUAGCAGGAAGGUACCAAAGUAAUCCAGGAGUGGAUCACUGGACAGCGGUCAAGAACAUCCUGAAAUACCUGAAAAGGACUAAGGAUAUGUUUCUCGUUUAUGGAGGCGACAAAGAGCUCGUCGUAAAUGGUUACGUCGAUGCAAGCUUUGACACUGAUCCGGAUGACUCUAAGUCACAAACCGGAUACGUAUUUAUAUUGAACGGUGGAGCUGUCAGUUGGUGCAGUUAUAAGCAAAGCUUUGUGGCGGGAUCUACGUGUGAAGCGGAGUACAUAGCUGCUUCGGAAGCAGCAAAUGAAGGAGUCUGGAUUAAGGAGUUCAUAUCCGAUCUAGGUGUCAUACCUAGUGCAUCGGGUCCAAUGAAAAUCUUUUGUGACAAUACUGGUGCAAUUGCCUUGGCAAAGGAAUCCAGAUUUCACAAGAGAACCAAGCAUAUCAAGAGACGCUUCAAUUCCAUCCGCGAUCAAGUCAAGGAGGGAGACAUAGAGAUUUGCAAGAUACAUACGGAUCUGAAUGUUGCAGACCCGUUGACUAAGCCUCUCUCACGAGCAAAACAUGAUCAGCACCAAGACUCCAUGGGUGUUAGAAUCAUUACUGUGUAAUCUAGAUUAUUGACUCUAGUGCAAGUGGGAGACUGAAGGAAAUAUACCCUAGAGGCAAUAAUAAAGUUGUUAUUUAUAUUUCUUUAUAUCAUGAUAAAUGUUUAUUAUUCAUGCUAGAAUUGUAUUAAUCGGAAACUUAGUACAUGUGUGAAUACAUAGACAAACAGAGUGUCACUAGUAUGCCUCUACUUGACUAGCUCGUUGAUCAAAGAUGGUUAAGUUUCCUAGCCAUAGACAUGAGUUGUCAUUUGAUUAACGGGAUCACAUCAUUAGAGAAUGAUGUGAUUGACAAGACCCAUCCGUUAGCUUAGCACGAUGAUCAUUUAGUUAUUGACAAGACCCAUCCGUUAGCUUAGCACGAUGAUCAUUUAGUUUGUUGCUAUUGCUUUCUUCAUGACUUAAACAUGUUCCUAUGACUAUGAGAUUAUGCAACUCCCGAAUACCGAAGGAACACUUAGUGUGCUAUCAAACGUCACAACGUAACUGGGUGAUUAUAAAGAUGCUCUACAGGUGUCUCUGAUGGUGUUUGUUGAGUUGGCAUAGAUCGAGAUUAGGAUUUGUCACUCCGAUUGUCGGAGAGGUAUCUCUGGGCCCUCUCGGUAAUGCACAUCACUAUAAGCCUUGCAAGCAAUGCGACUAAUGAGUUAGUUAUGGUAUGAUGCAUUACGGAACGAGUAAAGAGACUUGCCGGUAACGAGAUUGAACUAGGUAUUGAGAUACCGACGAUCGAAUCUCGGGCAAGUAACAUACCGAUGACAAAGGGAACAACGUAUGUUGUUAUGCGGUUUGACCGAUAAAGAUCUUCGCAGAAUAUGUGGGAGCCAAUAUGAACAUCGAGGUUCCGCUAUUGGUUAUUGACCGGAGAUGAGUCUCGGUCAUGUCUACAUAGUUCUCGAACCCAUAGGGUCCGCACGCUUAAUGUUCGAUGAUGAUCGGUAUUAUGAGUUUAUGUGUUUUGAUGUACCAAAGGUUGUUCGGAGUUCCGGAUGUGAUCACGGACAUGACGAGGAGUCUCGAAAUGGUCGAGACAUAAAGAUCGAUAUAUUGGAAGGCUCUGUUUGGACACCGGAAUGGUUCCGAAUGAGUUCGGGCAUUUUCCGGAGUACCGGGAGGUUACCGGAACCCCCCGGGGAGCCAAUGGGCCUUAUUGGGCCUUAGUGCAAGAGAAGAGGAGGCGGCCAGGUGGAGGGCGCCCCCCCCCCCCCAAGCCCAAUCCGAAUUGGGGUGGGGGCCGGCCCCCCUUUCCUUCUCUCCCUCUCCCUCUUCCUUCUUCUCCUACUCCAACUAGGGAAGGGGGGAAACCUACUCCUACUAGGAGUAGGAAUCCCCCUUGGGGCGCACCAUAGAGAGGGCCGGCCCUCCACUCCUUUAUAUACGGGGGAGGGGGCUCCCCAUAGACACACAAGUUGACAGUUGUCUUAGCCUUGUGAAGUCCCCCUCCCCCUCCACAGAUAUCCACCUCGGUCAUGUCGUUGUAGUGCUUAGGCGAAGCCCUGCGUCGGUUACUUCAUCAUCACCGUCAUCACGCCGUCGUGCUGACGAAACUCUCCCUCGGCCUCAGCUGGAUGAAGAGUACGAGGGACGUCACCGAGCUGAACGUGUGCAGAUCGCGGAGGUGCCGUGCGUUCGGUACUUGAUCGGUUGGAUCGCGAAGACGUUCGACUACAUCAACCGCGUUACUUAACGCUUCCGCUUUCGGUCUACGAGGGUACGUAGACACACUCUCCCCACUCGUUGCUAUGCUUCUCCUAGAUAGAUCUUGCAUGAUCGUAGGCAAAAUUUUGAAAUACUAUGUUCCCCAACAACAUCUACAUCCAACACAAGUGAGGGCUAUCUGAACUGCAUCAGCAUGGGCAGUUAACCAAAAGAAACCAGUCUGGAAAGCCUUGGCAACCAGUGCCUGAGAGGACGCAUGAUGCCCACAUAUACAUGAAUGAACCUCGUUGAGGAUCUGCAUGCGUUCCUCAAGAAAGAUACAACGAUGAGAAACGCCAGUGGGGUUGUGCUUCUACAGUUCACCAUUGAGAACUGUGUACGCCUUUGAUCAGCUCACUACUUGACAUGCCUCCACCCCAUCCUUGGGGAGCUCCUUCCUAAAAGAUAUGUCAUGUACAACAUUGUCCAGUCGGGGUUGACCACUAACACCUCUGCAGUUGAAUUGGCAAUUUUAGAGCCUUUGUCCUCUACCAGAUCAACUAUUGAAUCUUCCUUCACCUCUCAAACGGUGACUAGCUCCCCUCCAAGAGAGUGAACAUCGGGGUACAUCUUCGUCUCCAGGGUCUUCGGUUAUCCCAACCCUGGCUUAUUUACUUAUGGUUUUUAUACUUUGAUCCCUUGACCUUGGAAGCACCAUACCUUUCUUUGUAUUAACUGACGUCAGAGUUUAUGUUCCCGAGAUCAAAUGCACCCUCGUGGCCUGUAAAAACAAAUUAAAAAUUUAUUAAGAACUUUUGGUAACAAACUUUGCUGAAUGUUCCAUGUACGCGUAAUUUUUCGUGAAGAAAAACAUUUCUAAUGCUUUAGGCAAAAAGAUUGACACUAUUUUUUCAUUUUUUAAAGCAUUUUGGUGCACCGGAUUAUUAUAUUUUUGUGCACAAGAUUGGGAAUGAUUAAUCUGCAUGAAAAUAUGAACAUUCAACAAUGUUGUGUCUAAAAAAUCAUAACUUUUUAAAUUUAUUUGCUAUUCUUUUAUGUUACCGUUUAUGGCAUGUGCAUUUGAGGUUGAGAGCAGACGAACAUUUUUUAUAUAUAAACGACAAUUUAAAGUAGGAAUUGUGGAGAUACAUAUGUUGCCCCCCGGACAGCAUAUAUAAAAGAAUAUAAUAAAUAAAUAAAAGGAACAUACAUUUCAGACCUUCAACCAACCACUUGGAAUCAGCGCUAGUAANNNNNNNNNNNNNNNNNNNNNNNNNNNNNNNNNNNNNNNNNNNNNNNNNNNNNNNNNNNNNNNNNNNNNNNNNNNNNNNNNNNNNNNNNNNNNNNNNNNNNNNNNNNNNNNNNNNNNNNNNNNNNNNNNNNNNNNNNNNNNNNNNNNNNNNNNNNNNNNNNNNNNNNNNNNNNNNNNNNNNNNNNNNNNNNNNNNNNNNNNNNNNNNNNNNNNNNNNNNNNNNNNNNNNNNNNNNNNNNNNNNNNNNNNNNNNNNNNNNNNNNNNNNNNNNNNNNNNNNNNNNNNNNNNNNNNNNNNNNNNNNNNNNNNNNGGCAUCAGUCGAUUUCUCGCCAUGAUGUCAAGGACAUGUUUCUUUGGGGACCUAUAGCGACAUCCUAAUACGGCAUAUCCUCCUCCCAUGUGCCAAAAAACUUACUGUAGAAGAGAUGCAUGAAUAGGAGAACCUAGAGAAUCGGAUGCCAUGCCGUUUUAAAUGCUAGAGAAAUUUAAGACAUAGACAACACAAGUUUCCUUUCUUUCGAGAUUCCAUGCAAUUCAUACUCUAUAAAUUUUCAAUCGUCUCAGUCUCUUGAUCAGGAACUAACCCAAAGUGCCACUGCACAUGGAGAUAAUCUGUGAAACCAAGAACGAAGAGACCUUACCAGAUUUUAUGCGUGGAUGGUCCACAUCCCUCCGACGUUAUUCCCAGCAAUCGGCCUACCACUGUGAAGCGUCAACUCAAGAUUCCAAAGGGCAAACCAAACCAAAUCAAAUGACUAGACAAUGACGAAUUGGAGAACACAUAGGUACUAGGACGGGGAAUAACGAGCACAAGCGCGACAGUUGUUGGCUUUUGCCGCGUCACCAGCAACGGUGAAGGUUUGACGCACCUGGAUCGCGACAGCCCGGCCGUCGCCUUUCUCUCCGGCCCGUUGCCGUUGCCGUCCGGCGCGUCGGACUCCAUGGAUGUGGCAUGGCAUAUAUACUUGUCCUUCUUUAUGUGUUUUCCCUGGAUGGAGAUCGAAUCGAUCCAAUCAUGUGCUUGUUGCUGUUUCAUGAAUCAUGAUAACUAAUCUGAGGUGCUAAAUGCCGCCGUAUGCAUGCAUGCAUGUGAUAAUGUAAGGUGGGAGAUGAUAGAGGAGACUUUUGGGUCCAGCAUCUACGUUUUAUCCUAAUCGUAGUGGGGUUCCAAAGCUCAAAUGCAAUAGAACCAGCCAGUUGUUACACCUUGUGUGAUAGUGGCCCUCCAGUGCUUGGGAUUUUCCUGGUUUCACUUUUCUGUAGAUCACAUAUAUAUGUUCGAAAAUGUUUUCGCUACUUUAGAGGUCACUGUAUUUGCUAGGGGUCCAUUACUAAGGUUCUUCAGGCUAGCAUUAAUUAGGUUCUGGGCUCAAACCAGAUUGGACUCUGGACCUCCAAAAUAUGACUAACUCGAUGGUGCUCCGUACAAUUGAUGCAGGAAUUUUUCAUUUUUAUUGUGAGUUCGAUUGAUGCAGGAAUUUGUUGCAAUAUAUUUCAAAUGAGAUCUUGAUUGUAUGGAACGUGAAUAUUUGGAUUCAUAAUAUGAGAACUAAAACUAAAAAUACAUAUGAUUUAUUGUAUUUAAUUAUCUUACGUUGUAAAAUAUUUAUUCAAUAUAAAUAGCACAGUAGAGUGGAAAGUCUUUUUUCAUGCAUAGUUGCAAGUAGAGGUGUGCCUUUUCUAUGCAUAGUUGUAUGUUGAAGUGGCAUGUUUACAUGUUGAGGGAAGUAUAUGUUGAUCGAUAUCACCUAUUAAUUAUAGAAUUAGGUCUCGUUUAAAACGAGGAAAAAGUGGAGGAAUUUUCAAGGGUUCCAAUUGGUUGGUUCUAUCGGAUUUGAGCCUAGAUUGCAGUUUGCUGGAAAAUUGUUCAUACAUGUCACUAGUUAACUAACUGAGUGAUCCAAUUAAUAAGCUGAGACAAACUUUACUGUAAAAAGGGUGACUAGAACCAUUAUAUGGGACAUCUGUGCGGGUGAGAGAUGAUAGAGGAGACUUUUGGGUCCAGCAUCUACGUUUUAUCCUAAAUCGUAGUGGCGUUCCAAAGCUCAAAUGCGAUAGAACCAACCAGUUGUUACACCUUGUGUGAUAGUGGCGUCCAGUGUUUGGAGUUUUUUCAGUUUUUUUGUAAAUCACAUAUGUAUGGUUCAAAAAGGUUUUGCUACUUUAUAGGUCAUUGUAUUUGCAAGGGGUCCAUUGCUGAGGUUCUUCAGGCUAGCAUUAGGUUGUGAGCUCAACUCAGAUUGGACUCUGGACCUCCCAAAUACGACUAACUAGAUGAUACUGUUGGGAAUCGUAGUAGAAUUUUAAAAUUUCCUACGCAUCACCAAGAUCCAUCUAUGGAGUAUACUAGCAACGAGGGGAAAGGAGUGCAUCUACAUACCCUUGUAGAUCGCGAGCGGAAGCGUUCCAAUGAACGGGGUUGAUGGAGUCGUACUCGCCGUGAUCCAAAUCACCGAUGACCGAGUGCCGAACGGACGGCACCUCCGCGUUCAACACACGUACGGAGCAGCGACGUCUCCUCCUUCUUGAUCCAGCAAGGGGAAAGGAGAGGUUGAUGGAGAUCCAGCAGCACGACGGCGUGGUGGUGGAAAUAGCGGGAUCUCGGCAGGGCUUCGCCAAGCUUCUGCGAGAGGGAGAGGUGUUGCAGGGGAAGAGGGAGGCGCCAGGGGCUGUGGUGCUGCUACCCUCCCUCCCCCCCACUAUUUAUAGGCCCCCUGGAGGGGGGGCGCCGGCCCUGGAACCCAUCUACAUGUGGGGGGCGGCGGCCAAGGGGGAAGGGGGGUGGCUUCCCCCCCAAGCCAAGUGGGGCGCCCCCCACCCCUAGGGUUUCCAACCCUAGGCGCAGGGGGAGGCCCAAGGGGGGCGCCCCAGCCCACUAAGGGCUGGUUCCCUUCCCACUUCAGCCCAUGGGGCCCUCCGGGACAGGUGGCCCCACCCGGUGGACCCCCGGGACCCUUCCGGUGGUCCCGGUACAAUACCGAUAACCCCCGAAACUUUCCCGAUGGCCGAAACUGGACUUCCCAUAUAUAAUUCUUCACCUCCGGACCAUUCCGGAACUCCUCGUGACGUCCGGGAUCUCAUCCGGGACUCCGAACAAAUUUCGGGUUUCCGCAUACUAAUAUCUCUACAACCCUAGCGUCACCGAACCUUAAGUGUGUAGACCCUACGGGUUCGGGAGACAUGUAGACAUGACCGAGACGCCUCUCCGGUCAAUAACCAACAGCGGGAUCUGGAUACCCAUGUUGGCUUCCACAUGUUCCACGAUGAUCUCAUCGGAUGAACCACGAUGUCGAGGAUUCGAUCAAUCCCGUAUACAAUUCCCUUUGUCAAUCGGUAUGUUACUUGCCCGAGAUUCGAUCGUCGGUAUCCCAAUACCUUGUUCAAUCUCGUUACCGACAAGUCUCUUUACUCGUACCGUAAUGCAUGAUCCCGUGGCUAACUCCUUAGUCACAUUGAGCUCAUUAUGAUGAUGCAUUACCGAGUGGGCCCAGAGAUACCUCUCCGUCAUACGGAGUGACAAAUCCCAGUCUCGAUCCGUGCCAGCUCAACAGACACUUUCGGAGAUACCCGUAGUGUACCUUUAUAGUCACCCAAUUACGUUGUGACGUUUGGCACACCCAAAGCACUCCUACGGUAUCCGGGAGUUGCACGAUCUCAUGGUCUAAGGAAAAGAUACUUGACAUUGGAAAAGCUCUAGCAAACGAACUACACGAUCUUUGAGCUAUGCUUAGGAUUGGGUCUUGUCCAUCACAUCAUUCUCCUAAUGAUGUGAUCCCGUUAUCAAUGACAUCCAAUGUCCAUAGUUAGGAAACCAUGACUAUCUGUUGAUCAACGAGCUAGUCAACCAGAGGCUUACUAGGGACACAUUGUGGUCUAUGUAUUCACACAUGUAUUACGAUUUCCGGAUAACACAAUUAUAGCAUGAACAAUAGACAAUUAUCAUGAACAAAGAAAUAUAAUAAUAACCAUUUAUUAUUGCCUCUAGGGCAUAUUUCCAACAGUCUCCCACUUGCACUAGAGUCAAUAAUCUAGUUAUAUUGUGAUGAAUCGAACACCCAUAGCGUCCUGGUGUUGAUCAUGUUUUGCUCUAGGGAGAGGUUUAGUCAACGGAUCUGCCACAUUCAGAUCUGUAUGUACUUUACAAAUAUCUAUGUCUCCAUUCUGAACACUUUCACGAAUGGAGUUGAAGCGACGCUUGAUAUGCCUGGUCUUCCUGUGAAACCUGGGCUCCUUGGCAAGGGCAAUAGCUCCAGUGUUGUCACAGAAGAGAGUCAUCGGGCCCGACGCAUUGGGAAUCACCCCUAGGUCGGUAAUGAACUCCUUUAUCCAGACUGCUUCCUGUGCUGCCUCUGAGGCCGCCAUGUACUCCGCUUCACAUGUAGAUCCCGCCACGACGCUUUGCUUGCAACUGCACCAGCUUACUGCUCCUCCAUUCAAAAUAUACACGUAUCCGGUUUGUGACUUCGAGUCAUCCAGAUAUGUGUCGAAGCUAGCGUCGACGUAACCCUUUAUGACGAGCUCUUCGUCACCUCCAUAAACGAGAAACAUAUCCUUAGUCCUUUUCAGGUACUUCAGGAUAUUCUUGACCGCUGUCCAGUGUUCCAUGCCGGGAUUACUUUGGUACCUUCCUACCAAACUUACGGCAAGGUUUACAUCAGGUCUGGUACACAGCAUGGCAUACAUAAUAGACCCUAUGGCCGAGGCAUAGGGGAUGACACUCAUCUUUUCUCUAUCUUCUGCCGUGGUCGGGCAUUGAGUCGUGCUCAAUUGCACACCUUGCAAUACAGGCAAGAACCCCUUCUUGGACUGAUCCAUAUUGAACUUCUUCAAUAUCUUGUCAAGGUACGUACUCUGUGAAAGACCAAUGAGGCGUCUUGAUCUAUCUCUAUAGAUCUUGAUGCCUAAUAUAUAAGCAGCUUCUCCAAGGUCCUUCAUUGAAAAACACUUAUUCAAAUAGGCCUUUAUACUUUCCAAGAAUUCUAUAUCAUUUCCCAUCAAUAGUAUGUCAUCCACAUAUAAUAAGAGAAAUGCUACAGAGCUCCCACUCACUUUCUUGUAAACACAGGCUUCUCCAUAAGUCUGUGUAAACCCAAACGCUUUGAUCAUCUCAUCAAAACGAAUGUUCCAACUCCGAGAUGCUUGCACCAGUCCAUAGAUGGAGCGCUGGAGCUUGCAUACUUUGUUAGCAUUCUUAGGAUCGACAAAACCUUCCGGCUGCAUCAUAUACAAUUCUUCCUUAAGAAAGCCGUUAAGGAAUGCCGUUUUGACGUCCAUUUGCCAUAUCUCAUAAUCAUAGAAUGUGGCAAUUGCUAACAUGAUUCGGACGGACUUUAGCUUCGCUACGGGUGAGAAAGUCUCAUCGUAGUCAACCCCUUGAACUUGUCGAUAACCCUUAGCAACAAGUCGAGCCUUAUAGAUGGUCACAUUACCAUCCGCGUCUGUCUUCUUAUUAAAGAUCCAUUUAUUUUCUAUGGCUCGCCGAUCAUCGGGCAAGUCAGUCAAAGUCCAUACUUCGUUUUCAUACAUGGAUCCUAUCUCGGAUUUCAUGGCUUCUAGCCAUUUGUCGGAAUCCGGGCCCGCCAUCGCUUCUUCAUAGUUCGAAGGUUCACCGUUGUCUAACAACAUGAUUUCCAGGACAGGGUUGCCGUACCACUCUGGUGCGGAACGUGUCCUUGUGGACCUACGAAGUUCAGUAGUAACUUGAUCCGAAGCUUCAUGAUCAUCAUCAUUAACUUCCUCCCCAGUCGGUGUAGGCACCACAGGAACAUCUUCCCGCGCUGCGCUACUUUCCGGUUCGGAAGGGGUGACUAUCACCUCAUCAAGUUCCACUUUCCUCCCACUCAAUUCUUUCGAGAGAAACUCUUUCUCCAGAAAGGACCCGUUCUUGGCAACAAAGAUUUUGCCUUCGGAUCUGAGGUAGAAGGUAUACCCAAUGGUUUCCUUAGGGUAUCCUAUGAAGAUGCAUUUUUCCGACUUGGGUUCGAGCUUUUCAGGUUGAAGUUUCUUGACAUAAGCAUCGCAUCCCCAAACUUUUAGAAACGACAGCUUAGGUUUCUUCCCAAACCAUAAUUCAUAUGGUGUCGUCUCAACGGAUUUCGACGGAGCCCUAUUUAAAGUGAAUGCGGCAGUCUCUAAAGCAUAGCCCCAAAAUGAGAGCAGUAGAUCGGUAAGAGACAUCAUAGAUCGCACCAUAUCCAAUAGAGUGCGAUUAUGACGUUCGGACACACCAUUUCGCUGAGGUGUUCCAGGCGGCGUGAGUUGUGAAACGAUUCCACAUUUCCUUAAGUGCGUACCAAAUUCGUGACUUAAAUAUUCUCCACCACGAUCUGAUCGUAAGAACUUUAUUUUCCUGUCACGUUGAUUCUCAACCUCACUCUGAAAUUCCUUGAACUUUUCAAAGGUUUCAGACUUGUGUUUCAUUAGGUAGACAUACCCAUAUCUACUUAAGUCAUCAGUGAGAGUGAGAGCAUAACGAUAUCCUCCGCGAGCCUCAACACUCAUUGGACCGCACACAUCGGUAUGUAUGAUUUCCAAUAAGUUGGUUGCUCGCUCCAUUGUUCCGGAGAACGGAGUCUUGGUCAUCUUACCCAUGAGGCAUGGUUCGCACGUGUCAAAUGAUUCAUAAUCAAGAGACUCCAAAAGUCCAUCUGCAUGGAGCUUCUUCAUGCGUUUGACACCAAUGUGACCAAGGCGGCAGUGCCACAAGUAUGUGGGACUAUCGUUAUCAACUUUACAUCUUUUGGUAUUCACACUAUGAACAUGUGUAACAUCACGUUCGAGAUUCAUCAAGAAUAAACCAUUGACCAGCGGGGCAUGACCAUAAAACAUAUCUCUCAUAUAAAUAGAACAACCAUUAUUCUUGGAUUUAAAUGAGUAGCCAUCUCGAAUUAAACGAGAUCCAGAUACAAUGUUCAUGCUCAAAGCUGGCACUAAAUAACAAUUAUUGAGGUUUAAAACCAAUCCCGUAGGUAAAUGUAGAGGCAGCGUGCCGACGGCGAUCACAUCGACCUUGGAACCAUUCCCGACGCGCAUCGUCACCUCGUCCUUCGCCAGUCUCCGCUUAUUCCGCAGUUCCUGUUUUGAGUUACAAAUGAGCAACCGCACCGGUAUCAAAUACCCAGGAGCUACUACGAGUACUGGUAAGGUACACAUCAAUUACAUGUAUAUCACAUAUACCUUUGGUGUUGCCGGCCUUCUUGUCCGCUAAGUAUUUGGGGCAGUUUCCGCUUCCAGUGACCACUUCCCUUGCAAUAAAAGCACUCAGUCUCAGGCUUGGGUCCAUUCCUUGACUUCUUCCCAGUAACUGGCUUACCGGGCACGGCAACUCCCUUGCCGUCCUUCUUGAAGUUCUUCUUGUAGGGGAACGUAGCAGAAAUUCAAAAUUUUCUACGCAUCACCAAGAUCAAUCUAUGGAGUAAUCUAGCAACGAGGGGAAGGGGAGUGCAUCUACAUACCAUUGUAGAUCGCGAUGCAGAAGCGUUACAAGAACGCAGAUGAAGGAGUCAUACUCGUAGCGAUUCAGAUCGCGGUUGAUUCCGAUCUAAGCACCGAAGGACGGUGCCUCCGCGUUCAACACACGUGCAGCCCGGUGACGUCUCCCACGCCUUGAUCCAGCAAGGAGAGAGGGAGAGGUUGGGGAAGACUCCAUCCAGCAGCAGCACGACGGCGUGGUUGUGGUGGAGGAGCGUGGCAAUCCCGCAGGGCUUCGCCAAGCACCGCAGGAGAGGAGGAGGAGGGAGAGGGGUAGGGCUGCGCCGAAAGAGAGACGUUCUCGUGUCUAUGGCAGCCCCAAAACCCCAAUAUAUAUAGGGGAGGGGGAGGGCUGCGCCCCCAUCUAGGGUUCCCCCCCCAAGGGGUGCGGCCAGCCCUAGAUGGGGCUUGGGGGGCGGCCAAGGGGUGGAGAGAGGGGGGCGCCCCACUAGAUGGGCCUUAGGCCCAUCUGAGACUAGGGUUUCCCCUUUCCCCCCUUUCCUGCGCCCUGGGCCUCUUGUGGGGGGCGCACCAGCCCACCUGGGGCUGGUACCCUCCCACACUUGGCCCACGCAGCCCUCUGGGGCCGUGGCCCCACCUGGUGGACCCCCGGGACCCUCCCGGUGGUCCCGGUACAUUACCGAUAUCACCCGAAACUUUUCCGGUGACCAAAACAGGACUUCCCAUAUAUAAAUCUUUACCUCCGGACCAUUCCGGAACUCCUCGUGACGUCCGGGAUCUCAUCCGGGACUCCGAACAACAUUCGGUAACCACAUACAUGCUUUCCCUAUAACCCUAGCGUCAUCGAACCUUAAGCGUGUAGACCCUACGGGUUCGGGAACCAUGCAGACAUGACCGAGACGUUCUCCGGUCAAUAACCAACAGCGGGAUCUGGAUACCCAUGUUGACUCCCACAUGUUCCACGAUGAUCUCAUCGGAUGAACCACGAUGUCGGGGAUUCAAUCAAUCCCGUAUUCAAUUCCCUUUGUCUAUCGAUAUGUUACUUGCCCGAGAUUCGAUCGUCGGUAUCCCUAUACCUUGUUCAAUCUCGUUACCGGCAAGUCUCUUUACUCGUUCCGUAACUCACAUCAUCCCGUGAUCAACUCCUUGGUCACAUUGUGCACAUUAUGAUGAUGUCCUACCGAGUGGGCCCAGAGAUACCUCUCCGUUUACACGGAGUGACAAAUCCCAGUCUCGAUUCGUGCCAACCCAACAGACACUUUCGGAGAUACCUGUAGUGCACCUUUAUAGCCACCCAGUUACGUUGUGACGUUUGGUACACCCAAAGCAUUCCUACGGUAUCCGGGAGUUGCACAAUCUCAUGGUCUAAGGAACUGAUACUUGACAUUAGAAAAGCUCUGAGCAAACGAACUACACGAUCUUGUGCUAGGCUUAGGAUUGGGUCUUGUCCAUCACAUCAUUCUCCUAAUGAUGUGAUCCCGUUAUCAACGACAUCCAAUAUCCAUGGUCAGGAAACCGUAACCAUCUAUUGAUCAACGAGCUAGUCAACUAGAGGCUUACUAGGGACAUGGUGUUGUCUAUGUAUCCACACAUGUAUCUGAGUUUCCUAUCAAUACAAUUCUAGCAUGGAUAAUAAACGAUUAUCAUGAACAAGGAAAUAUAAUAAUAACCUAUUUAUUAUUGCCUCUAGGGCAUAUUUCCAACAGUCUCCCACUUGCACUAGAGUCAAUAAUCUAGUCCACAUCACCAUGUGAUUAACACUCAUAGGUCACAUCACCAUGUGACCAACAUCCAAAGAGUUUACUAGAGUCAACAAUCUAGUUCACAUCAUUAUGUGAUUAACACUCAAUGAGUUCUGGUUUGAUCAUGUUAUGCUUGUGAGAGAGGUUAUUAGUCAACGGGUCUGAACCUUUCAGAUCCGUGUGUGCUUUACGAAUAUCUAUGUCAUCUUGUGGAUGCUACCACGCGCUAUUUGGAGCCAUUUCAAAUAAUUGCUCUACUAUACGAAUCUGGUUUACUACUCAGAGUCAUCCGGAUUAGUGUCAAAGUUCGCAUCGACGUAACCCUUUACAAAGAACUCCUUUUCACCUCCAUAAUCGAGAAAAUUCCUUAGUCCACUAGAUACUAAGGAUAAGUUCGACCGCUGUCAUGUGAUCCAUUCCCGGAUCACUAUUGUACCCCUUGACCAACUCAUGGCAAGGCACACUUCAUGUGCAGUACACAGCAUAGCAUAUUGUAGAGCCUACGUCUAAAGCAUAGGGGACGACCUUCGUCCUUUCUCUCUCUUCUGAUGUGGUCAGGUCUUGAGUCUUACUCAAUACUCACACCUUGUAACACAGCCAAGAACUCCUUCUUUGCUGAUCUAUUUUUGAACUCCUUCAAAAACUUGUCACGGUAUGUAUUCAUUUGAAAGUAUCAUUAGGCGUCUUGAUCUAUCUCUAUAGAUCUUGAUGCCCAAUAUGUAAGCAGCUUUAUCCAGGUCUUACUUUGAAAAACUUCUUUCAAACAACCCUUUAUGCUUUCCAGAAAUUUUACAUCAUUUCGGAUCAACAAUAUGUCAUUCACAUAUACUUAUCAGAAAUGUUGUAGCGCUCCCACUCACUUUAUUGUAAAUACAAGUUUCUAACAAACUUUGUAUAAACCCAAAAACUUUGAUCACUCCAUCAAAGUGUAUAUUCUGACUCCGAGAUGCUUGCUCUAGUCCAUGGAAGGAUCGCUGGAGCUAGCAUACCUUUUAGCAUCCUUAGGAUCGACAAAACCUUUCUGAUUGUAUCACAUACAACCUUUCCUUACGAGAACUGGUAAGGAAACUUGUUUUGACAUCCGUCUGCCAGAUUUCAUAAAUGCAGCUAAUGCUAACAUGAUUCCGACGGACUUUAAGCAUCGCUACGGAUGAGAAAAAUCUCAUCGUAGUCAACUCCUUGAACUUGUGGAAAUACUCUUAGCCACAAGUCGAGCUUCAUAGACGGUAACAUUACGUCCACGUCCGUCUUCUUCUUUAAGUUCCAUUUAUCUCGGAUUUCAUGGCUUCUAACCAUUUGUCAGAAUAUGGGCCCACCAUCGCUUUUCCAUAGCUCGUAGGUUCAGUAUUGUCCAACAACAUGAUAUCUCAGACAGGAUCACGUACCACUCUGAAGUAGCACGCAUCCUCAUCGUCCUACGAGGUUUGGUAGUGACUUGAUCCGAAGUUUCAUGAUCACUAUCAUAAGCUUCCACUUCAAUUGGUGUAGGUGCCAUAGGUACAACUUCCUGUGCCCUGCUACACACUAGUUGAAGUGUCGGUUCAAUAACCUUAUCAAGUCUCCACCAUCCUCCCACUCAAUUCUUUCGAGAGAAACUUUUCCUCGAGAAAGGACUCGUUUCUAGAAGCAAUUACUUUUGCUUCCAGAUCUGAAAUAGGAGGUAUACCCAACUGUUUUGGGUAUUCUUAUGAAGAUGUAUUUAUCCGCUUUGGGUUCGAGCUUAUCAGCCUGAAACUUUUUCACAUAAGCUUCGCAGCCCCAAACUUUUAAGAAACGACAACUUGGGUUUCUCUAAACGGUGUCAUCUCAACGGAAUUGCGUGGUGCCCCUUUUUAAAGUGAAUGCGGUUAUCUCUAAUGCCUAACCCAUAAACGAUAGUGGUAAUUCGAUAAGAGACAUCAUGGUAUGCACCAUAUCCAAUAGGGUGCAGUUAUGAUGUUCGGACACACCAUCACACUAUGGUGUUCCAGGCGGUAUUAAUUGCGAAACACUUUCCACAAUGUCUUAAUUGUGUGCCAAACUCGUAACUCAGAUACUCAUCUCUAUGAUCAUAUCAAAGACAUUUUAUCCUCUUGUCACAACGAUCUUCAACUUCACUCUGAAAUUACUUGAACCUUUCAAUAAUUCAGACUUGUGUUUCAUCAAGUAAAUACACUCAGCAUCUACUCAAAUCAUCUGUGAAGUAAGAACAUAACGAUACCCACUGCAUGCCUCAGCACUCAUUGGACUGCAUACAUCAAAAUGUGUGACUUCCAAUAAGUUGCUCUCUUGUUCCAUCUUACUGAAAACGAGGACUUUCAGUCAUCUUGCCCAUGUGGUAUGAUUUGCAUGUCUCAAGUGAUUCAAAAUCAAGUGAGUCCAAACGAUCCAUCUGCAUGGAGUUUCUUCAUGCAUAUAUACCAAUAGACAUGGUUCGCAUGUCUCAAUCUUUUCAAAAACGAGUGAGUCCAAAGAUCCAUCUACAUGGAGCUUCUUCAUGCGUUCUAUACCAAUAUGACUCAAAUGGUAGUGCCACAAGUAUGUGGAACUAUCAUUACUAUUUUAUAUCUUUUGGCACGAACAUGUGUAUCACUACGAUCGAGAUUCAUUUUAGGUGCAAGACCAUUGAAGGUAUUAUUCAAAUAAACAGAGUAACCAUUAUUCUCCUUAAAUGAAUAACCGUAUUGCGAUAAACAUAAUCCAAUCAUGCUCAACGCAAACACCAAAUCUCGAUAGUAGAGGGAGCAUGCGAUGCUUUGAUCACAUCAACCUUGGAAACACUUCCAACACAUAUCGUCAUCUCACCUUUAGCUAGUCUCCGUUUAUUCCGCAGCUUUUAUUUCGAGUUACUAACACUUAGCAACCGAACCGGUAUCUAAUACCCUGGUGCUGCUAGGAGUACUAGUAAAGUACACAUUCAUAUAACGUAUAUCCAAUAUACUUCUGUCGACCUUGCCUGCCUUCUCAUCUACCAAGUAUCUAGGGUAGUACUGCUUCAGUGACCGUUCCCCUCAUUACAGAAGCACUUAGUCUCGGGUUUGGGUUCAACCUUGGGAUUCUUCACUAGAGCAGCAAACGACUUGCUGUUUCAUGAAGUAUCCCUUUUACCCUUGCCCUUCUUAAACUAGUGGUUUUACUAACCAUCAACAAUUGAUGCUCCUUCUUGAUUUCUACUUUCGCGGUGUCAAACAUCGCGAAUGGCUCAAGGAUCAUCAUAACUAUCCAUGAUAUGUUAUAGUUCAUCACGAAGCUCUACUAGCUUGGUGGCAGUGACUAUGGAGAACCAUCACUAUCUCAUUUGGAAGAUUAACUCCCACUCGAUUCAAGCGAUUGUGGUACUCAGACAAUCUGAGCACAUGCUCAACGAUUGAGCUUUUCUCCCUUAGUUUGCAGGCUUAAGAAACUUGUCAGAGGUCUCAUACCUCUUGACGUGGGCACUAGUCUGAAAUCCCAAUUUCAGUCUUCGGAACAUCUCAUAUGUUCUGUGACGUAAAAACGUCAUUGCUGCCACAAUUCUAAACCGUUAGCAUUACGCACUGAACUAUCACGUAAUCAUCAAAACGUGUAUGUCAGAUGUUCCGCAACAUCUACAGACGACGCUGAGGUUCAGCACACCGAGCGGUGCAUUAAGGACAUAAGCCUUCUGUGCAGCAAUGAGGACAAUCCUCAGUUUACGGACCCAGUCCGCAUAAUUGCUACUACCAACUUUCAACUAAAUUUUCUCUAGGAACAUAUCUUAAACAGUAGAACUAAAGCGUAUGACAUAAUUUGCAAAGACCUAUUGACUAUGUUCAUGAUAAUGAAGUUCAUCUGAUUAUUGAACUCCCACUCAGAUAGACAUCCCUCUAGUCAUCUAAGUGAUGCAUGAUCCGAGUCAAACUAGGCCGUGUCCGAUCAUCACGUGAGACAGACUAGUCAUCAUCGGUGAACAUCUCCAUGUUGAUCGUAUCUACUAUACGACUCAUGUUCGACCUUUCGGUCUCUUGUGUUCUGAGGCCAUGUCUGUACAUGCUAGGCUCGUCAAGUCAACCUAAGUGUUUCGCAUGUGUUCCGAGGCCAUGUCUGUACAUGCUAGGCUCGUCAACACCCGUUGUAUUCGAACGUUAGAAUCUAUCACACCCGAUCAUCACGUGGUGCUUCGAAACAACGAACCUUAGCAACGGUGCACAGUUAGGGGGAACACGUCUCUUGAAAUUUUAGUGAGGGGUCAUCUUACUUACUACCGUCGUUCUAAGCAAAUAAGAUGCAUAACAUGAUAAACAUCACAUGCAAUCAAAUAGUGACAUGAUAUGGCCAAUAUCAUUUUGCUCCUUUGAUCUCCAUCUUCGGGGCACCAUGAUCCUCUUUGUCACCGGCAUGACACCAUGAUCUCCAUCAUCAUGAUCUCCAUCAUUGUGUCUUCAUGAAGUUGUCACGCCAACGAUUACUUCUACUUCUAUGGCUAACGCGCUUAGCAAUAAAGUAAAGUAAUUUACAUGGCGUUAUUCAAUGACACGCAGGUCAUACAAAAAAUAAAGACAACUCCUAUGGCUCCUUCCGGUUGUCAUAUUCAUCGACAUGCAAGUCGUGAUUCCUAUUACAAGAAUAUGAUCAAUCUCAUACAUCACAUAUAUCAUUCAUCACAUCUUCUGGCCAUAUCACAUCACAUAGCACAUGCGGCAAAAACAAGUUAGACGUCCUCUAAUUGUUGUUGCAAGUUUUUACGUGGCUUGUAUAGGUUUCUAGCAAGAACGUUUCUUACCUACGUAAGACCACAACGUGAUAUGCCAAUUUCUAUUUACCCUUCAUAAGGACCCUUUUCAUCGAAUCCGUUCCGACUAAAGUGGGAGAGACAGACACCCGCUAGCCACCUUAUGAACUAGUGCAUGUCAGUCGGUGGAACCUGUCUCACGUAAGCGUACGUGUAAGGUCGGUCCGGGCCGCUUCAUCCCACAAUGCCGCCGAAACAAGAUAAGACUAGUAACGGCGAGAAGAAUUGGCAACAUCUACGCCCACAACUACUUUGUGUUCUACUCGUGCAUAGAAACUACGCAUAGACCUAGCUCAUGAUGCCACUGUAGGGGAACGUAGCAGAAAUUCAAAAUUUUCUACGCAUCACCAAGAUCAAUCUAUGGAGUAAUCUAGCAACGAGGGGAAGGGGAGUGCAAUUACAUACCAUUGUAGUUCAGGAUGCGGAAGCGUUACAAGAACGCGGAUGAAGGAGUCGUACUCGUAGCGAUUCAGAUCGCGGUUGAUUCCAAUCUAAGCACCGAAGGACGGUGCCUCCGCGUUCAACACACGUGCAGCCCGGUGACGUCUCCCACGCCUUGAUCCAGCAAGGAGAGAGGGAGAGGUUGGGGAAGACUCCAUCCAGCAGCAGCACGACGGCGUGGUUGUGGUGGAGGAGCGUGGCAAUCCCGCAGGGCUUCGCCAAGCACCGCGGGAGAGGAGGAGGAGGGAGAGGGGUAGGGCUGCGCCGAAAGAGAGACGUUCUCGUGUCUAUGGCAGCCCCAAAACCCCAAUAUAUAUAGGGGAGGGGGAGGGCUGCGCCCCCAUCUAGGGUUCCCCUCCCAAGGGGUGCGGCCAGCCCUAGAUGGGGCUUGGGGGGCGGCCAAGGGGUGGAGAGAGGGGGGCGCCCCACUAGAUGGGCCUUAGGCCCAUCUGAGACUAGGGUUUCCCCUUUCCCCCCUUUCCUGCGCCCUGGGCCUCUUGUGGGGGGGCGCACCAGCCCACCUGGGGCUGGUCCCCUCCCACACUUGGCCCACGCAGCCCUCUGGGGCCGGUGGCCCCACCUGGUGGACCCCCGGGACCCUCCCGGUGGUCCCGGUACAUUACCGAUAUCACCCGAAACUUUUCCGGUGACCAAAACAGGACUUCCCAUAUAUAAAUCUUUACCUCCGGACCAUUCCAGAACUCCUCGUGACGUUCGGGAUCUCAUCCGGGACUCCAAACAACAUUCGGUAACCACGUACAUGCUUUCCCUAUAACCCUAGCGUCAUCGAACCUUAAGCGUGUAGACCCUACGGGUUCGGGAACCAUGCAGACAUGACCGAGACAUUCUCCGGUCAAUAACCAACAGCGGGAUCUGGAUACCCAUGUUGACUCCCACAUGUUCCACGAUGAUCUCAUCGGAUGAAUCACGAUGUCGGGGAUUCAAUCAAUCCCGUAUUCAAUUCCCUUUGUCUAUCGAUAUGUUACUUGCCCGAGAUUCGAUCGUCGGUAUCCCUAUACCUUGUUCAAUCUCGUUACCGGCAAGUCUCUUUACUCGUUCCGUAACUCACAUCAUCCCGUGAUCAACUCCUUGGUCACAUUGUGCACAUUAUGAUGAUGUCCUACCGAGUGGGCCCAGAGAUACCUCUUCGUUUACACGGAGUGACAAAUCCCAGUCUCGAUUCGUGCCAACCCAACAGACACUUUCGGAGAUACCUGUAGUGCACCUUUAUAGCCACCCAGUUACGUUGUGACGUGUGGUACACCCAAAGCAUUCCUACGGUAUCCGGGAGUUGCACAAUCUCAUGGUCUAAGGAACUGAUACUUGACAUUAGAAAAGCUCUAAGCAAACGAACUACACGAUCUUGUGCUAGGCUUAGGAUUGGGUCUUGUCCAUCACAUCAUUCUCCUAAUGAUGUGAUCCCGUUAUCAACGACAUCCAAUGUCCAUGGUCAGGAAAACGUAACCAUCUAUUGAUCAACGAGCUAGUCAACUAGAGGCUUACUAGGGACAUGGUGUUGUCUAUGUAUCCACACAUGUAUCUGAGUUUCCUAUCAAUACAAUUCUAGCAUGGAUAAUAAACGAUUAUCAUGAACAAGGAAAUAUAAUAAUAACCUAUUUAUUAUUGCCUCUAGGGCAUAUUUCCAACAGUCUCCCACUUGCACUAGAGUCAAUAAUCUAGUCCACAUCACCAUGUGAUUAACACUCAUAGGUCACAUCACCAUGUGACCAACAUCCAAAGAGUUUACUAGAGUCAACAAUCUAGUUCACAUCAUUAUGUGAUUAACACUCAAUGAGUUCUGGUUUGAUCAUGUUAUGCUUGUGAGAGAGGUUAUUAGUCAACGGGUCUGAACCUUUCAGAUCCGUGUGUGCUUUACGAAUAUCUAUGUCAUCUUGUGGAUGCUACCACGCGCUAUUUGGAGCCAUUUCAAAUAAUUGCUCUACUAUACGAAUCUGGUUUACUACUCAGAGUCAUCCGGAUUAGUGUCAAAGUUCGCAUCGACGUAACCCUUUACAAAGAACUCCUUUUCACCUCCAUAAUCGAGAAAAUUCCUUAGUCCACUAGAUACUAAGGAUAAGUUCGACCGCUGUCAUGUGAUCCAUUCCCGGAUCACUAUUGUACCCCUUGACCAACUCAUGGCAAGGCACACUUCAUGUGCAGUACACAGCAUAGCAUAUUGUAGAGCCUACGUCUAAAGCAUAGGGGACGACCUUCGUCCUUUCUCUCUCUUCUGAUGUGGUCAGGUCUUGAGUCUUACUCAAUACUCACACCUUGUAACACAGCCAAGAACUCCUUCUUUGCUGAUCUAUUUUUGAACUCCUUCAAAAACUUGUCACGGUAUGUAUUCAUUUGAAAGUAUCAUUAGGCGUCUUGAUCUAUCUCUAUAGAUCUUGAUGCCCAAUAUGUAAGCAGCUUUAUCCAGGUCUUACUUUGAAAAACUUCUUUCAAACAACCCUUUAUGCUUUCCAGAAAUUUUACAUCAUUUCGGAUCAACAAUAUGUCAUUCACAUAUACUUAUCAGAAAUGUUGUAGCGCUCCCACUCACUUUAUUGUAAAUACAAGUUUCUAACAAACUUUGUAUAAACCCAAAAACUUUGAUCACUCCAUCAAAGUGUAUAUUCUGACUCCGAGAUGCUUGCUCUAGUCCAUGGAAGGAUCGCUGGAGCUAGCAUACCUUUUAGCAUCCUUAGGAUCGACAAAACCUUUCUGAUUGUAUCACAUACAACCUUUCCUUACGAGAACUAGUAAGGAAACUUGUUUUGACAUCCGUCUGCCAGAUUUCAUAAAUGCAGCUAAUGCUAACAUGAUUCCGACGGACUUUAAGCAUCGCUACGGAUGAGAAAAAUCUCAUCGUAGUCAACUCCUUGAACUUGUGGAAAUACUCUUAGCCACAAGUCGAGCUUCAUAGACGGUAACAUUACGUCCACGUCCGUCUUCUUCUUUAAGUUCCAUUUAUCUCGGAUUUCAUGGCUUCUAACCAUUUGUCGGAAUAUGGGCCCACCAUCGCUUUUUCAUAGCUCGUAGGUUGAGUAUUGUCCAACAACAUGAUAUCUCAGACAGGAUCACGUACCACUCUGAAGUAGCACGCAUCCUCAUCGUCCUAAGAGGUUUGGUAGUGACUUGAUCCGAAGUUUCAUGAUCACUAUCAUAAGCUUCCACUUCAAUUGGUGUAGGUGCCAUAGGUACAACUUCCUGUGCCCUGCUACACACUAGUUGAAGUGUCGGUUCAAUAACCUUAUCAAGUCUCCACCAUCCUCCUACUCAAUUCUUUCGAGAGAAACUUUUCCUCGAGAAAGGACUCGUUUCUAGAAGCAAUUACUUUUGCUUCCAGAUCUGAAAUAGGAGGUAUACCCAACUGUUUUGGGUAUUCUUACGAAGAUGUAUUCAUCCGCUUUGGGUUCGAGCUUAUCAGCCUGAAACUUUUUCACAUAAGCUUCGCAGCCCCAAACUUUUAAGAAACGACAACUUGGGUUUCUCUAAACGGUGUCAUCUCAACGGAAUUGCGUGGUGCCCCUUUUUAAAGUGAAUGCGGUUAUCUCUAAUGCCUAACCCAUAAACGAUAGUGGUAAUUCGAUAAGAGACACCAUGGUAUGCACCAUAUCCAAUAGGGUGCAGUUAUGAUGUUCGGACACACCAUCACACUAUGGUGUUCCAGGCGGUAUUAAUUGCGAAACACUUUCCACAAUGUCUUAAUUUGUGCCAAACUCGUAACUCAGAUACUCAUCUCUAUGAUCAUAUCACAGACAUUUUAUCCUCUCGUCACAACGAUCUUCAACUUCACUCUGAAAUUACUUGAACCUUUCAAUAAUUCAGACUUGUGUUUCAUCAAGUAAAUACACUCAGCAUCUACUCAAAUCAUCUGUGAAGUAAGAACAUAACGAUACCCACUGCAUGCCUCAGCACUCAUUGGACUGCAUACAUCAAAAUGUGUGACUUCCAAUAAGUUGCUCUCUUGUUCCAUCUUACUGAAAACGAGGACUUUCAGUCAUCUUGCCCAUGUGGUAUGAUUUGCAUGUCUCAAGUGAUUCAAAAUCAAGUGAGUCCAAACGAUCCAUCUGCAUGGAGUUUCUUCAUGCAUAUAUACCAAUAGACAUGGUUCGCAUGUCUCAAUCUUUUCAAAAACGAGUGAGUCCAAAGAUCCAUCUACAUGGAGCUUCUUCAUGCGUUCUAUACCAAUAUGACUCAAAUGGCAGUGCCACAAGUAUGUGGAACUAUCAUUACUAUUUUAUAUCUUUUGGCACGAACAUGUGUAUCACUACGAUCGAGAUUCAUUUUAGGUGCAAGACCAUUGAAGGUAUUAUUCAAAUAAACAGAGUAACCAUUAUUCUCCUUAAAUGAAUAACCGUAUUGCGAUAAACAUAAUCCAAUCAUGCUCAACGCAAACACCAAAUCUCGGUAGUAGAGGGAGCAUGCGAUGCAUUGAUCACAUCAACCUUGGAAACACUUCCAACACAUAUCGUCAUCUCACCUUUAGCUAGUCUCCGUUUAUUCCGCAGCUUUUAUUUCGAGUUACUAACACUUAGCAACCGAACCGGUAUCUAAUACCCCGGUGCUGCUAGGAGUACUAGUAAAGUACACAUUCAUAUAACGUAUAUCCAAUAUACUUCUGUCGACCUUGCCUGCCUUCUCAUCUACCAAGUAUCUAGGGUAGUACUGCUUCAGUGACCUUUCCCCUCAUUACAGAAGCACUUAGUCUCGGGUUUGGGUUCAACCUUGGGAUUCUUCACUAGAGCAGCAAACGACUUGCUGUUUCAUGAAGUAUCCCUUUUGCCCUUGCCCUUCUUAAACUAGUGGUUUUACUAACCAUCAACAAUUGAUGCUCCUUCUUGAUUUCUACUUUCGCGGUGUCAAACAUCGCGAAUAGCUCAAGGAUCAUCAUAACUAUCCAUGAUAUGUUAUAGUUCAUCACGAAGCUCUACUAGCUUGGUGGCAGUGACUAUGGAGAACCAUCACUAUCUCAUCUGGAAGAUUAACUCCCACUCGAUUCAAGCGAUUGUGGUACUCAGACAAUCUGAGCACAUGCUCAACGAUUGAGCUUUUCUCCCUUAGUUUGCAGGCUUAAGAAACUUGUCAGAGGUCUCAUACCUCUUGACGUGGGCACUAGUCUGAAAUCCCAAUUUCAGUCUUCGGAACAUCUCAUAUGUUCUGCGACGUUUCAAAAAAAACGUCAUUGGUGCCACAAUUCUAAACCGUUAGCAUUACGCACUGAACUAUCACGUAGUCAUCAAAACAUGUAUGUCAGAUGUUCCGCAACAUCUACAGACGACGCUGAGGUUCAGCACACCGAGCGGUGCAUUAAGGACAUAAGCCUUCUGUGCAGCAAUGAGGACAAUCCUCAGUUUACGGACCCAGUCCGCAUAAUUGCUACUACCAACUUUCAACUAAAUUUUCUCUAGGAACAUAUCUUAAACAGUAGAACUAAAGCGUAUGACAUAAUUUGCAAAGACCUAUUGACUAUGUUCAUGAUAAUGAAGUUCAUCUGAUUAUUGAACUCCCACUCAGAUAGACAUCCCUCUAGUCAUCUAAGUGAUGCAUGAUCCGAGUCAAACUAGGCCGUGCCCGAUCAUCACGUGAGACGGACUAGUCAUCAUCGGUGAACAUCUCCAUGUUGAUCGUAUCUACUAUACGACUCAUGUUCGACCUUUCGGUCUCUUGUGUUCCGAGGCCAUGUCUGUACAUGCUAGGCUCGUCAAGUCAACCUAAGUGUUUCGCAUGUGUUCCGAGGCCAUGUCUGUACAUGCUAGGCUCGUCAACACCCGUUGUAUUCGAACGUUAGAAUCUAUCACACCCGAUCAUCACGUGGUGCUUCGAAACAACGAACCUUAGCAACGGUGCACAGUUAGGGGGAACACGUCUCUUGAAAUUUUAGUGAGGGGUCAUCUUACUUACUACCGUCGUUCUAAGCAAAUAAGAUGCAUAACAUGAUAAACAUCACAUGCAAUCAAAUAGUGACAUGAUAUGGCCAAUAUCAUUUUGCUCCUUUGAUCUCCAUCUUCGGGGCACCAUGAUCCUCUUUGUCACCGGCAUGACACCAUGAUCUCCAUCAUCAUGAUCUCCAUCAUUGUGUCUUCAUGAAGUUGUCACGCCAACGAUUACUUCUACUUCUAUGGCUAACGCGCUUAGCAAUAAAGUAAAGUAAUUUACAUGGCGUUAUUCAAUGAGACGCAGGUCAUACAAAAACUAAAGACAACUCCUAUGGCUCCUUCCGGUUGUCAUAUUCAUCGACAUGCAAGUCGUGAUUCCUAUUACAAGAAUAUGAUCAAUCUCAUACAUCACAUAUAUCAUUCAUCACAUCUUCUGGCCAUAUCACAUCACAUAGCACAUGCUGCAAAAACAAGUUAGACGUCCUCUAAUUGUUGUUGCAAGUUUUUACGUGGCUUGUAUAGGUUUCUAGCAAGAACGUUUCUUACCUACGUAAAACCACAACGUGAUAUGCCAAUUUCUAUUUACCCUUCAUAAGGACCCUUUUCAUCGAAUCCGUUCUGACUAAAGUGGGAGAGACAGACACCCGCUAGCCACCUUAUGAACUAGUGCAUGUCAGUCGGUGGAACCUGUCUCACGUAAGCGUACGUGUAAGGUCGGUCCGGGCCGCUUCAUCCCACAAUGCCGCCGAAACAAGAUAAGACUAGUAACGGCGAGAAGAAUUGGCAACAUCUACGCCCACAACUACUUUGUGUUCUACUCGUGCAUAGAAACUACGCAUAGACCUAGCUCAUGAUGCCACUGUAGGGGAACGUAGCAGAAAUUCAAAAUUUUCUACGCAUCACCAAGAUCAAUCUAUGGAGUAAUCUAGCAACGAGGGGAAGUGGAGUGCAUCUACAUACCAUUGUAGAUCGCGAUGCGGAAGCGUUACAAGAACACAGAUGAAGGAGUCGUACUCAUAGCGAUUCAGAUCGCGGUUGAUUCCGAUCUAAGCACCGAAGGACGGUGCCUCCGCGUUCAACACACGUGCAGCCCGGUGACGUCUCCCACGCCUUGAUCCAGCAAGGAGAGAGGGAGAGGUUGGGGAAGACUCCAUCCAGCAGCAGCACGACGGCGUGGUUGUGGUGGAGGAGCGUGGCAAUCCCGCAGGGCUUCGCCAAGCACCGUGGGAGAGGAGGAGGAGGGAGAGGGGUAGGGCUGCGCCGAAAGAGAGACGUUCUCGUGUCUAUGGCAGCCCCAAAACCCCAAUAUAUAUAGGGAAGGGGGAGGGCUGCGCCCCCAUCUAGGGUUCCCCCCCCCCCCAAGGGGUGCGGCCAGCCCUAGAUGGGGCUUGGGGGGCGACCAAGGGGUGGAGAGAGGGGGGCGCCCCACUAGAUGGGCCUUAGGCCCAUCUGAGACUAGGGUUUCCCCUUUCCCCCCUUUCCUGCGCCCUGGGCCUCUUGUGGGGGGCGCACCAGCCCACCUGGGGCUGGUCCCCUCCCACACUUGGCCCACGCAGCCCUCUGGGGCCGUGGCCCCACCUGGUGGACCCCCCGGGACCCUCUCGGUGGUCCCGGUACAUUACCGAUAUCACCCGAAACUUUUCCGGUGACCAAAACAGGACUUCCCAUAUAUAAAUCUUUACCUCCGGACCAUUCCAGAACUCCUCGUGACGUCCGGGAUCUCAUCCGGGACUCCGAACAACAUUCGGUAACCACAUACAUGCUUUCCCUAUAACCCUAGCGUCAUCGAACCUUAAGCGUGUAGACCCUACGGGUUCGGGAACCAUGCAGACAUGACCGAGACGUUCUCCGGUCAAUAACCAACAGCGGGAUCUGGAUACCCAUGUUGACUCCCACAUGUUCCACGAUGAUCUCAUCGGAUGAACCACGAUGUCGGGGAUUCAAUCAAUCCCGUAUUCAAUUCCCUUUGUCUAUCGAUAUGUUACUUGCCCGAGAUUCGAUCGUCGGUAUCCCUAUACCUUGUUCAAUCUCGUUACCGGCAAGUCUCUUUACUCGUUCCGUAACUCACAUCAUCCCGUGAUCAACUCCUUGGUCACAUUGUGCACAUUAUGAUGAUGUCCUACCGAGUGGGCCCAGAGAUACCUCUCCGUUUACACGGAGUGACAAAUCCCAGUCUCGAUUCGUGCCAACCCAACAGACACUUUCGGAGAUACCUGUAGUGCACCUUUAUAGCCACCCAGUUACGUUGUGACGUUUGGUACACCCAAAGCAUUCCUACGGUAUCCGGGAGUUGCACAAUCUCAUGGUCUAAGGAACUGAUACUUGACAUUAUAAAAGCUCUAAGCAAACGAACUACACGAUCUUGUGCUAGGCUUAGGAUUGGGUCUUGUCCAUCACAUCAUUCUCCUAAUGAUGUGAUCCCGUUAUCAAUGACAUCCAAUGUCCAUGGUCAGGAAACCGUAACCAUCUAUUGAUCAACGAGCUAGUCAACUAGAGGCUUACUAGGGACAUGGUGUUGUCUAUGUAUCCACACAUGUAUCUGAGUUUCCUAUCAAUACAAUUCUAGCAUGGAUAAUAAACGAUUAUCAUGAACAAGGAAAUAUAAUAAUAACCUAUUUAUUAUUGCCUCUAGGGCAUAUUUCCAACACUUCUUGCCCUUGCCUUUCUUGAACUUAGUGGUUUUAUUCACCAUCAACACUUGAUGUUCCUUUCUGAUCUCCACCUCCGCUGAUUUCAGCAUCGAAUAUACCUCAGGAAUGGUCUUUUCCAUCCCCUGCAUAUUGAAGUUCAUCACAAAGCUCUUGUAGCUCGGUGGAAGCGACUGAAGGAUUCUGUCAAUGACCGCGUCAUCCGGGAGAUUAACUCCCAGCUGAGACAAGCGGUUGUGUAACCCAGACAUUCUGAGUAUGUGCUCACUAACAGAACUAUUUUCCUCCAUUUUACAGCUGAAGAACUUGUCAGAGACUUCAUAUCUCUCGACCCGGGCAUGAGCUUGGAAAACCAUUUUCAGCUCUUCGAACAUCUCAUAUGCUCCAUGUUUCUCAAAUGCUUUUGGAGACCCGGUUCUAAGCUGUAAAGCAUGCCGCACUGAACGAGGGAGUAAUCAUCAGCACGUGAUUGCCAAGCGUUCAUAACGUCUUGGUUCUCUGGGAUUGGUGCUUCACCUAGCGGUGCUUCUAGGACAUAAUCUUUCUUGGCAACUAUGAGGAUGAUCCUCAGGUUCCGGACCCAGUCCGUAUAGUUGCUGCCAUCAUCUUUCAGCUUGGUUUUCUCUAGGAACGCGUUGAAGUUGAGGACAACGUGGGCCAUUUGAUCUACAAGACAUAUUGUAAAGAUUUUAGACUAAGUUCAUGAUAAUUAAGUUCAUAUAAUCAAAUUAUUCAAUGAACUCCCACUCAGAUAGACAUCCCUCUAGUCAUCUAAGUGAAACAUGAUCCGAGUUAACUAGGCCGUGUCCGAUCAUCACGUGAGACGGACUAGUCAAGAUCGGUGAACAUCUCCAUGUUGAUCGUAUCUUCUAUACGACUCAUGCUCGACCUUUCGGUCCUCCGUGUUCCGAGGCCAUGUCUGUACAUGCUAGGCUCGUCAAGUCAACCUAAGUGUAUUGCGUGUGUUCCGAGGCCAUGUCUGUACAUGCUAGGCUCGUCAACACCCGUUGUAUGCGAACGUUAGAAUCUAUCACACCCGAUCAUCACGUGGUGCUUUGAAACAACGAACCUUCGCAACGGUGCACAGUUAGGGGGAACACUUUCUUGAAAUUAUUAUAAGGGAUCAUCUUACUUACUACCGUCGUUCUAAGCAAAUAAGAUGCAAAACAUGACAAACAUCACAUGCAAUCAAAUAGUGACAUGAUAUGGCCAAUAUCAUUUUGCUCCUUUGAUCUCCAUCUUCGGGGCACCAUGAUCAUCUUCGUCACCGGCAUGACACCAUGAUCUCCAUCAUCAUGAUCUCCAUCAUUGUGUCUUCAUGAAGUUUUCACGCCAACGAUUACUUCUACUUCUAUGGCUAACGCGUUUAGCAAUAAAGUAAAGUAAUUUACAUGGCAUUAUUCAAUGACAUGCAGGUCAUACAAAAAUAAAGACAACUCCUAUGGCUCCUGCCGGUUGUCAUACUCAUCGACAUGCAAGUCGUGAUUCCUAUUACAAGAAUAUGAUUAAUCUCAUACAUCACAUAUAUCAUUCAUCACAUCUUCUGGCCAUAUCAUAUCACAUAGCACAUGCUGCAAAAACAAGUUAGACGUCCUCUAAUUGUUGUUGCAAGUUUUUACGUGGCUUGUAUAGGUUUCUAGCAAGAACGUUUCUUACCUACGUAAAACCACAACGUGAUAUGCCAAUUUCUAUUUACCCUUCAUAAGGACCCUUUUCAUCGAAUCCGUUCCGACUAAAGUGGGAGAGACAGACACCCGCUAGCCACCUUAUGCAACUAGUGCAUGUCAGUCGGUGGAACCUGUCUCACGUAAGCGUACGUGUAAGGUCGGUCCGGGCCGCUUCAUCCCACAAUACCGCCGAAACAAGAUAAGACUAGUAGCGGCAAAAAGAAUUGGCAACAUCUACGCUCACAACUGCUUUGUGUUCUACUCGUGCAUAGUAACUACGCAUAGGCCUGGCUCAUGAUGCCACUGUUGGGAAUCGUAGCAGAAUUUUAAAAUUUCCUACGCAUCACCAAGAUCCAUCUAUGGAGUAUACUAGCAACGAGGGGAAAGGAGUGCAUCUACAUACCCUUGUAGAUCGCGAGCGGAAGCGUUCCAAUGAACGGGGUUGAUGGAGUCGUACUCGACGUGAUCCAAAUCACCGACGAUCGAGUGCCGAACGGACGGCACCUCCGCGUUCAACACACGUACGAAGCAGCAACGUCUCCUCCUUCUUGAUCCAGCAAGGGGGAAGGAGAGGUUGAUGGAGAUCCAGCAGCACGACGGCGUGGUGGUGGAAGUAGCGGGAUCUCGGCAGGGCUUUGCCAAGCUUCUGCGAGAGGGAGAGGUGUUGCAGGGGAAGAGGGAGGCGCCAGGGGCUGUGGUGCUGCUGCCCUCCCUCCCCCCCCCCCCACUAUUUAUAGGCCCCCUGGAGGGGGGGCGCCGGCCCUAGAACCCAUCUACAUGGGGGGGCGGCGGCCAAGGGGGAAGGGGGGUGGCUUCCUCCCCAAGCCAAGUGGGGCGCCCCCCACCCCUAGGGUUUCCAACCCUAGGCGCAGGGGGAGGCCCAAGGGGGGCGCCCCAGCCCACUAAGGGCUGGUUCCCUUCCAGCCCAUGGGGCCCUCCGGGACAGGUGGCCCCACCCGGUGGACCCCCGGGACCCUUCCGGUGGUCCCGGUACAAUACCGAUAACCCCCGAAACUUUCCCGGUGGCCGAAACUGGACUUCCCAUAUAUAAUUCUUCACCUCCGGACCAUUCCGGAACUCCUCGUGACGUCCGGAUCUCAUCCGGGACUCCGAACAACUUUCGGGUUUCCGCAUACUAAUAUCUCUACAACCCUAGCGUCAUCGAACCUUAAGUGUGUAGACCCGACGGGUUCGGGAGACAUGUAGACAUGACCGAGACGCCUCUCCGGUCAAUAACCAACAGCGGGAUCUGGAUACCCAUGUUGGCUCCCACAUGUUCCACGAUGAUCUCAUCGGAUGAACCACGAUGUCGAGGAUUCGAUCAAUCCCGUAUACAAUUCCCUUUGUCAAUCGGUAUGUUACUUGCCCGAGAUUCGAUCGUCGGUAUCCCAAUACCUUGUUCAAUCUCGUUACCGGCAAGUCUCUUUACUCGUACCGUAAUGCAUGAUCCCGUGGCUAACUCCUUAGUCACAUUGAGCUCAUUAUGAUGAUGCAUUACCGAGUGGGCCCAGAGAUACCUCUCCGUCAUACGGAGUGACAAAUCCCAGUCUCGAUCCGUUUCAACUCAACAAACACUUUCGGAGAUACCCGUAGUGUACCUUUAUAGUCACCCAGUUACGUUGUGACGUUUGGCACACCCAAAGCACUCCUACGGUAUCCGGGAGUUGCACGAUCUCAUGGUCUAAGGAAAAGAUACUUGACAUUGGAAAAGCUCUAGCAAACGAACUACACGAUCUUUGAGCUAUGCUUAGGAUUGGGUCUUGUCCAUCAGAUCAUUCUCCUAAUGAUGUGAUCCCGUUAUCAAUGACAUCCAAUGUCCAUAGUCAGGAAACCAUGACUAUCUGUUGAUCAACGAGCUAGUCAACUAGAGGCUUACUAGGGACACAUUGUGGUCUAUGUAUUCACACAUGUAUUACGAUUUCCGGAUAACACAAUUAUAGCAUGAAAAAUAGACAAUUAUCAUGAACAAAGAAAUAUAAUAAUAACCAUUUAUUAUUGCUUCUAGGGCAUAUUUCCAACAGAUACUCCGCAGUGGCGGAGCUAGACAGAAUCAGCUGGGGGGCGAAACAUAAAAUACAAGUGUUUGGGGGGGGGGCAACAGCUAAAGAAGUUCUCAUCUAAGCUCUCACAAUUUUUGUUUCCUCACAAGUUGGUUCCAUGUUCGGGGGGACCUACAAGCUUCGUCGUUGAUACUCCGUACAGUUGAUGCAGGAAUUUUCAUUUUUAUUUUGAGUUCAAUUGAUGCAGGAAUUGGUUGCAAUAUAACCCAAUGAGAUCUUGGUUCUAUGGGAUAUGAAUAUUUGAAUUCAUAAUAUUUAUUUAAUAUAAGUAGAGUGGAAAGUUUUUUUUUAUGCAUAGUUGCAGGGUUUUUUUUUCGGAAUGCAUAGUUGCGACUUGAGGUGUGCUUUUUUCUAUGCAUAGUUGUAUGUUGAGGAGACAUGUUUACAUGUUGGGGGAAAUAUAUGUUGAUCGGUAUCAGCUAUUAAUUACAUAUUAGGUCUCGUUUGAAACGAUGAAGAAGUGGAGGAAUUUUUAAGGGUUCCAAUUGGUUGGUUUCAUCGGAUUUGAGCUUAGAUUGCAGUUCAUUGGAAAAUUGUUCAUACAUGUCACCAGCAACUAAUUUAGUGGUCCAACUAAUAAGCUGAGACAAACUUUACUGGAAAAAGGGUGACUGCAAUCUUUAUAUGGGACAUCUGUGCGGGUGAGGUUUGUGCCUCUGUUAUGCUAUGUUGUGUUCCUGACAGAUAGAUGCAACAAUCGCGAAUGAAAAGAAAAUUUAGAAUGCAAAGUAGAUCUGAUCCCAGAGAUGACAGAAAACAAAGAGCUAGCCCUUCUAUAUAUACAUACAUGGAGUAUCUAUCAAUUGAAGGCCACUAAUCGUCUAACUUUUAUCUCAAAAAUAGAACACUCCCUCUGUAAAAAAAUAUUUCUUUACAGAGAGCAUGGACGGAAAAGCUAGGCAGGGUACAGGAAAAGGGUUUCCUAGUCCUAAACUAGCCGAUGCCCACUAGCAAGUUUAAGUGAGUGACAAAUUUCGUACUGUCAAACUGGGUUAACUGUAAAGGAACCAAUGCUAAGCAUCCCUGAUGCAUCCAUCAUCCUCCACGCCGAAAGGCUUCAUUCUGCUUGCCGGAGAAUAAAUAUGUGUGACGCUAAUCACCAGAUGUGUAGCAUCUAGUAAUGCAUUCAGGAACCUAAUGCUAGAGUGUCUCUCUUUUCUUUUCUUUUCUUUUUUAGCAAGGGAUAAGAGUUUACUUUUGUGAGAGGUUUUGAGAAUAUGUACAUAUUUUUACUGCAGAUGAAAUAUAUGUAAAUUGCACCCGGCUUGUUACCUUUUAAAUUUCAGGGAUUCUGGGUUGUGCUCCUUGAUUACUAAGCAAACAAAAUAUGGUCCCUACGAAUGAAUGAAUCCACCCAAGUGAUGUUUCUCCGAGACCCACAUGAGAGUACAUAUGACCGCGUACCUAGAUCCAAUUGGGCGUGAUGUUUCUAUCUAGUCUAGAGGCGCGAGUUUGAGCUGACAGUCAUAUAUCAGCAGCCGGCAGCCACCUAGUUUUGUUGACAUAUGACCCUGUUUGUAUCAGAUUAAGGUGGAGUUACAGACCCCACUGGGCACUACCGGCCACGUCAAGGCAUGUACAAUGGUUCUAUUUUAGUAGUGCACGUAGGAUAAAUGAUGAGGUGCAGGAAAAAGAAACCAGAAAAAAGGCUUUGCCUCCUCUUAUUUAAGAAAUGAUUUCUUAGCACCAAAUCUCUCACCACUUUUUUAGGAAUAACUUGUUACUAGAGAUAAGAUUAAGAAAGAACCCAUUGCACACCAUAUUUUUCUGUCAUCUCUAGAUUACGUGGCUGGAUUAAAAUAGGACUAUCUUAUCAACCAUUGUACAUGCUCACCGGAGGCAGAAAUAAACAGAACGCCAAUGUUGGGAGUCAUUUUGAGGCAAUGUGUAUAAAAGCUAUUCAAGGAUAAAUAACAGUGUAAACGUCGAACAUAACCCAUGUGUGUGGGGAACCCUAGUACUUUGGGAUCUAACCCAUGUGUGUGGGGAACCCUAGUACUUUGGGAUCAAGUAGAUCGAAUACGGUACCAAAAUCUAGAUUGGUUAAGAGCGCGCAAAAGCCUGUUCUAGAAAGCAGGAUGACAGCAUUAUGUAUAUGAACGAAUACAUAGAAUGCAGGUGAAAGGGGGCAAAUUGUAAGGCGGUUCUAUAGAAACCAAGACAUGAUCCGGAAUGUGAACAAAGUUCAACAGGGGGUUAAUCUCACAAGCCAUUGAACACUGUUAUUUUAUUGCUGAUUAGUGAGUGGUUGGCGAAGACAUGUCAGAACUAGUGCAAAAAAAGGCACAUCUCAGAACUGUAAUUCAUCGUGCCGACUCGGAAACUAUCUUUCCCGUGAUGCAGAGGCAAAUCCACUACGGUAUCAUCAGUAGCAACAAUUCAGCAAGCAGCAACCCAUAGCAAUGCAGCAUAAACAACAUUUAUGCAUAGCAGGCAUGCUGGUCGUCUACUGCACCACCCAGUCUGAAGAUUAGUCCUCUACUGAGCAUUAGCAUUGUAACAUCUUAUGUUUCCCCCUGUUUUUCAGACGGUAGGACGAGUUCCUUGCCUGGCACAAUUCAGUUAGGCUGCGUUCGGUUGACAGGGAAUUGAAAGGGGUUUGNNNNNNNNNNNNNNNNNNNNNNNNNNNNNNNNNNNNNNNNNNNNNNNNNNNNNNNNNNNNNNNNNNNNNNNNNNNNNNNNNNNNNNNNNNNNNNNNNNNNNNNNNNNNNNNNNNNNNNNNNNNNNNNNNNNNNNNNNNNNNNNNNNNNNNNNNNNNNNNNNNNNNNNNNNNNNNNNNNNNNNNNNNNNNNNNNNNNNNNNNNNNNNNNNNNNNNNNNNNNNNNNNNNNNNNNNNNNNNNNNNNNNNNNNNNNNNNNNNNNNNNNNNNNNNNNNNNNNNNNNNNNNNNNNNNNNNNNNNNNNNNNNNNNNNNNNNNNNNNNNNNNNNNNNGGUGUAACCGAACAAAGCCUUAUAGGUAUUACUGAACUCAGGGACGGCAACCUGAAGAAAUACAUACCGAUUUGAAGGGCAUAAAUGCAGCUGCUCCAGCUGACAUUUAUUUACCACAUCGAAGGUGUGAUCAGCUUCCGGUACACCACCAAAUAUAGCUUUCAAAACAGCAGUUGCGGACGGAACGAAAACAUUUAUUUGUUAUUGAAGAGACCCUACUUCUCAAUAAUUGAUGAGGGAUUACAGCUUACACCUGAUAGAGGCUCCCAUCCAAUGUGAUCAAUGGAGGUGAAAUGAACUGCAAACGGAGCUUACCAACAACACUAGGAACAUAUGCCAUCUACAUAUCAAGUUAUUAGAAUGCAGAAAAUGUCUAGGAAAAAAAGAACUUUACAGCUUGCACAUGAAAUGGUCUUGGAAGAAUCCACUAAAAGAAAUCAAAUUCAAGAUAAUUGUCUGGACCUUUCUCGGCUGACGGUGUUGCCUUCUGACUUGUCGAGGCUCCUGGCCGAGGGAUUUCAACUGGCUUGGGGAUAUCUGGAGGAGUAGCGCACCUUAUCAAUGCCCAGUUAACACCUUCAAAGAAUGGGUGCUGCUUUAUUUCUGUGGCUCCACGUUUGUACGCCAAUCGAUGCUGCGGCUCCUUGAUCAGCAACCCCCUUAUGAGAUCCCUUGCAGCAAAACCCACAACGGGUGAUUCUGGGAACCUGAGGGGCUGGCCAACAACAUUGAAUAGUGUUGCCCUGUUCCCCGAACCUUUGAAUGGAGUCUUGCCGAAAAGAAGUUCAUACAAGAAUAUGCCAAAAGUCCACCAGUCCACAGCACUCCCAUGCCCCUCACCCUUUAUGAUCUCAGGUGCCAAGUAUUCAUGGGUGCCUACGAAUGACAUAGACCUUGCAUCUGUGGGCUCUGCAACAAGCUCAGGGAGCGGUCUGACCUGGGUUGCCAUGUCUGCCUUUGCCUUCUUUUCCUUCUUCUCCCUCUUGGACUUGGAGGAGAAAAAGCGAGGAGAGAAACAUGUGGUUGUCGUAACGCAAGCAGGCUGGAUACAGGCUGGCUCAAUGCACACGGGUUGUACACAAUAAGCUUGAUUACCCUUUUGGUUAGGAUCUACACCAGGGUUGGAAGAUUUGAGAAGUGUAGGGCUCACAUCACAACGAAGGGACAAAUCAAAAUCUGACAGCAUGAUGUGGCCAUCUUCUCUCACAAGAACAUUCUCUGGCUUGAGGUCCCGAUAUAUGAUACCGAGCAUGUGCAGGUAUUCUAGAGCAAGAAGCACCUCUGCUACAUAAAAUCUGUACAAAUAUUUGAAAGAUAAACAUGAGUUUGUACACUUAACACUGUUUGUUAGUACCUAAAACCAUCACAUGAUAAAGAAUGCUAUGUAAUUGCCGAACAUGUAGCGCACCAAGCCUGUGCGCCAGGAAAUGUACCAUAGGCUUGGUUGAGCUAGAGAUAUGCCUUUUAUCUCUACUUUAGUUGCCACCUUUCAAUUAGCUAUUCGGUUGGUUAGUUCCAUAUUGUUAGUAUUUUUGGGGAUCUUUGAUCAGCUUCUCCCUAUAUCUAAUGGACUUGCCCAUGAGGAAUAGAUCAACCAAUCAAGAGCACUACAAUGAAUCAUCCCAGUCUUAAUAUCUCCUAUUCCUAGCAGCCACACUGUCCCUAACCUACUGGAAGUAGUUAAUCCAGCAUGAAAACAAGGCAACUUAUGUUAAGUAUCAAGAAUAGCACGAAAUGCUAAAUACUCCCUCCGUCCGCGAAUAAGUGUACAUCUAGCUUUUGUCCUAAGUCAAAAUUUAAAAUUUUGACCAACUUUCUUGGAAAAGGUAGCAGCAUUUAUGGCACUAAAUUACUUUCACUAGAUCCGUUUUGAAAUGUACUUUCAUAAUACAUCAAGUUGAUGUCAUAUAUGUUACUACUAUUUCCUAUAAAGUUGGUCAAAAUUUUAAAAGUUUGACUUCGAACAAAAGCUAGAUGUACACUUAUUCACGGACGGAGGGAGUAACUGUUUUCGUAGACAAACGGUCGGAUAAAAUAAAUCCAGCUAUAUCAAGAAAAAUGAGGAGAUAAACUGUCAAAAGAGCCAUUUCAAGAAAGAGAAACAAGUUCCUUUUAAACCAUCCAUCUGUCUAAACAGCAGAUAAUGGUGAAAAAUAGAGAGGAAAUGCAUUAAUCGUAAGAAACUCAACACUAACCACAAACAAUAUUAAUAAAAAACACUGCAUACAGAAGUGGGGGAAAGGGAAACUCGCAGAAGACACGAGUACAUGUGCAGUUGUAGUUCAAAAAUUGUUGUUACAUCUCAGACAUGAUAAGGAACAACAACGACAAAGCAUGAUGUCAAUAGGGCAGAAGGACAGCUUGUAACUUUGCAUAAAUCCUAAAAUACAAUUAAGAUUUGUAAUUGAGCAUGCUAUGUUGCCCUAGACCCUAGUAGCUUGAAAAAUGAAUAGUGUAACUGAAUUAGGCAUCAGAUACACAUAUACAUAAGUGAGGAACGUACAAAAUACAAUGGGUAUUACUACGCUGCAACAUUUUAUGUGGGAAAAAUGAAAACAAACAAUAUAAAAUGUUACAGACAUGCUGAAGGUAUUUUUCAUAUGCCUUUAUUAAGACAGUUGAUGCGGCUUAACCAUUUAAAAUAUGCAGUUAUGUCUACUCCAAAGCAAGCUUCAUUAAAUAGACUGAUAAAAGAAACAAAAAGUAUAUUCCACAGUACAGAAAACACUAGUCUCUCAUGAACAAAGCACCCAACUGAAGAACGUUUCAUUUCAAGACUUCAAGUACAUUGCCAUAAACAAAGAAAAUCUAUAUCACAUUACCUUAUCACAUUAUAUGUACCUUAAGGCCUAUGUUACCACAUACUCCAUCAGUUCCUGAGAACAAGGUGUACAUAUUUUUGCCAACAAAUUCCUAGCCUAUAAUACCCUCAUUUAAUCACUACUAUUGCUGAACAGAUCCCUUAGAUUACGGCUACAUUAAUUGCAUGCAGUUACAGCUCCUUUCAAGAUUGGCUCCACUGUUACCUCGCUCCUCGUGUCCAAAGAAUCGUUCCCGAACCCACAAGAGAGUAAUUUUCCAGGGGUAAGUUGGGAAGCUAAUUUUGACUGUGGGCUCUCCUUGGGGUGGGCGCUGAGAAAUUUACGCCUAACUCAUAGGAACGUAGGGAGUAUUGGACAUGGAUGUGUGGUCAGAUUAUUUAUAUAGAUUAGGGAUUCCAGAUCAAUGAGAGAGGUAGCUACAAAGCAUUUACUUUAGUGUUACAACUUGUAAUGUUCGAGAGCAAAUAUACCCACUUCAGAAGACAAAAGCCUAGUGUUAAUCGUAGUUUGGUUGACUACUCAGAUAACGCAAGCACAGGAUAGGAGCUGAUAAAGGAGAAAUCACUACACAGUAAUCAAUGUUGUAUUUAAGAGGUAAGAUCCCAGGAGUCUAAGUACCUCAAGUAAAAUAAGUGGCAUUUACAGAAGCUCGUCCAUUAGAGGCGCUCCAGAUAAUUUGGAGCAUUACUGCCACUUCUAGUGCUAACAAGCCUACUACCAACGACAAAUAAUAUGUGACUACAGAUUUUGUGAUCCCUGAGAUUUUACAUACUCCCUCCAUUCCCUUAUACAAGGCCACUUCGCAUUUUUAUGUCUAACUUUGACCAUUAAUUUUACCAACAAAAAAUGAGUUAUAUGCCACAAAAAGUAUUUCAUUGGAUGCACAUUCCAAAGAACUUUCCAAUGAUAUAUUUUGGUGGCAUAUAAUCCAUAUUUUGUUGGCUAAAAUUAUAAGUCAAAGUUUGACAUGGAAAAUAAAGUGGCCUUGUAUAAGGUAAUGGAGGGAGUAUAUGAAAUCACUCUGAAAUUAUGUUCUCCUAAAUCCAAAAUGAAUCCAGCAACAGCAGCAAUUCAAAUUUCCAACAUUCCUUGCUGACAGUAACAGAAAAGUUCCCCAGGAAAAGAAAUUUAAAGAUAGUUGUUAACCAUAGAGGCCAAACCAAAAAUACACAAUACUGUUAAACCUAAUAAAAUACAAGGGGGGCAUACGUUCCAUGAAAUUGAAAAGCAUUUCUUUAACAAUUGAACAAUAAGAUAAAAGAUAUAAUUUGUCACUACAUCUUGAAAAUUAAAAGAGCUUCAAUUUAUAGUACUGAACCAGAUGUAUUAGUCCACAACUGGAUGAUUUAUAAGAACAGAAAAGGAUUGGUCGAUCAUGAGUGUGAUAACAUUUGCAUAUCUAUCAGUAAAAUAAAUAAAUAAAUAGACAAAGAGAAAGAAGACUCUUACUUGGCAGCUUGUUCGGGGAAAUACUUCCCAGGCUGCUUCUGCCUUAGGGUAUGCAGGUCUCCUCCAGGGCAAAACUCCAUCACCAAGCAUGAGAAUUUAUCAGUCUCAAAGUGGGUGUACAAAGUCGGAAGAAAAGGAUGGUCUAAGCACUGCAAUAUCUCCCUUUCAGUCUGGGCCCUGAGAAGCUUUUUGCGGCCAGCUAGAGAUGCCUUGUCCAUGAUCUUCAUAGCAAAGUAGCAUUUCGUGCCACUAAGCUCUGAUAAGUAAACACUGCCAAUGUCACCACAGCCAAGCCUCUUAAGCAGCCUGAAGUGACUCAAUCCUAGCGAACCUUCUUUGGUCCGGAUCACCUGAAUCGCCUCCCACCUUGAAUCAUUGGACUUGUGAGGCUUGCUAGCGCUGCUGCAUAUACUGCUACAGGUGCUAUCAUCACUGACAUCACUGCCAGCGCUGGCCCGGUAAACGCUGCUCUUCCCGCUCUGGACCAAAUCGGCGUGGCCGCUGACCUUGGUGCUGCCGCUCGCCUUUGUCAGGCUGCUUGCUCCGUCGCUGAACUUGGCAGAAACCGAGCUAUCCUUGACGCUCCCACGCAGGGAGCUCUUCUCGGGGUCUUCAUCUUCGUCCAGUUUCACAGAGCCAUCAACAGAACUGCAGUCUUUAUCUUGUUCUUUCACUCCGCUGGACGUAGCCACAUCACCAGGCGGGACUGCUCUCGGUGAGGCAGGCCCCGAUUUGCUUGCUCCCCCGAUUUGCUCCUCAGACUGCCUCCGAGAAGGCGCGGCCUCAGAGGACUCGGUGGCGCUUUUACUGCAUUGCUUGUCAUCGACUAUCUCAGCAACGGCCUUGGACGCCAUCGCAACAGGGAGUCAACCAAGAAGCCCCUAACGGCGCCGCCAUGACCCUCCUCCCAUCGCCACCACGGUCGACCGAUCAAUCAGCGGCCGGAGCGGUGAAAUCGAGACCUAUCACAAGGGUUCGCCCCGAAUUAGAUUCAGCGAAAGCGAUGCGAGUCAGCCGUCUAGCGGAACCGACGAAUCGGGAACCAAUAAUUGCCGAAUUAUUAGCCGGAUGGAUCUGGCUGAGAUUGAGAGGAUCCCCUCCUCGCGGGGGGGAGUCAGGCGGGGGGUGGGAGUGGGGAGGGUAGAGUCUGCUUACUGGUCAGCCGUCGCGCCGUGGGAGCUCGCCGCCAGCGGGGCUGGGGAGGGGAUCGAGGGGGGGCGCUUCCUUCGGCUUCGGGGGAGGUGGCUGGCAGCGGAGGGGGGAGGACGAAAUGAAAAUCAAUGAGAGAAACCUAAUAAGGAGAAAAAACGAAAUGAAGAAGAGAAUCGGAAAGAAAAUGGAAUGAGGGAACGGAUUGAGUGUGUGCCUGGCCCACUUGCCGGGCUUGAGUGAAAGUGGCAGAGCUUUCCCUUCCGUUUACUGGAUCCUGACACUUUUACACUUCCCUGCCUCGUAAAUAUUUUUUCACUCUUUCGAAGAUGCUCAUGAGACACACGUACACUCACCCACUAUAAAAACACAUCUGCACAUUAUAUCUUCCGUAAGCACCUCUAAGAUACUGAGCCGUCACAUGAUGUUAAAAUUAACAAAGUCAUCGUGUAGCCGACGAAAAUGUCUCCUUCCACCGAACGAAUAUUGUCGGUGAAACAGCAUUUUCCUCCCUGACAACUCAAUUGACGGUCUAAUCGUAUGCUUGAGCAAUACAUGUAAAUUGAAAAGUGGCAUAAAACAGUUACAUACCCCUCUAAAAGGAAAAGAGCAAAGACAGUGUUCCCGUAAUUUCGUUUCACCGAGACAACACCAACAUUAGAACGAGUGGAGCAAUCAGCACCACCACAAAGAGCCCCCCUCCCCAAUCGAAUAUCACUCCAAGACGAUGCCUUCAAGAGGGGAGCGCGACAUUGAGUGUCAUCCUAAAAGACUUGAAUUGAGGGUUUGCUCUGGAGCAAAAUGGGAGGGACCACGAAAAUAGACCUCCAGGAUGCAUUUAGGAAAGCAGCGGCACCCAAGGGCAUCACCGUCAUUGACAUCGACCAAAGUCGAGUCAGACUUCAGCUGACAGCCUCAACAUCCCACACCUGAGACCGGCUGGUACACCUAGAGGACCUCCGCCAUUGACCACCUGUCAUGUACAGACCUACCCAGCCCACCACGCCAGAUCUACACAAGAGCCACACUAGUUCGACCACCGCCAACCCAGGCCAGAUAAGCCACCUGAUAUAGGGCCAAGCCAGAGCACGAGGAGGGGCGAAGGGCAGUAACAAACACUCCCAAGGAGUCGUGUCGCGCAGCCUCGCACAAAUCCGGCGCCGUCGAGGGCCGAAGCCGCACCAAACAGAAGAGUGAGAGCAAGGUGACCGCAUGACAACACCCACGGUGCAAGGCGCGUCGGCGUUGCCGACGAAUUCUGCGCCGCCAAGUAGCACAUCUCAGGAAGGUGACCAAGACGAGGGCUCGAGCCGUUCAAAUCUUCAGGAAAAGACUUGAUGGGCACCGCCACCGCCCUCCUCUGUACGAGAGUUGCUCGGCUAUGUCACUCGACGGUAACGAGGAAGGAGGGACAGUGUGGCUGGCGGUUUGCUGCCAGAGCCGCCGUGGAGGCGGCGCAAGAGUUGAAGUGGGGAGCAUGGAGGAGUUGUACAUGUAAGGAUAUGAUCUAUACAUGUCUUUUUCGAUUCCAAGAUUCUAGCGGUGGAGACGGCGCGAGAGUUGAAGUGGGGAGCAUGGAGGAGUUGUACAUGUAAGGAUAUGAUCUAUACAUAUCUAUACAUGUCUUUUUCGAUUUCAAGAUUCUAGCACGGGAGGGGUGGCUCAAUCUCACUAUAGACUAUAGUAAUAAUUAUGUUAGAUUAUGUACUAGUAUUAGAAGUUACUCGAAGUUCUAUUUUUCUUGUGGGGGUAAAGUUACUCGAAGCUACAAACAUAAAUACUUAACAUCGUUUUAUCCGAUGAAGAUAUCAAAGUAGUUAGCUAGGAAACAUCCACGGCCGAGAAAGAUGGGUGAUAAAACAUAUUGUUACUCAAAUAGUAUAUUUAUUAAAUUAUUAUUUUGUCACUGGUGCAGCAACAGCGCAUCACAAUCAACCAUGACUUGCAACUUACAAGGUCACAAGUUGCAUGCUUAGACUCCCGAAUUAUUUGUGCCAGCAUUCAUUCAGCAGUGUUUGCUGCAUGCCCAAGCAGCCGCCCUCUUUGAUUGACGGCCAUCCAUUCACACGUUGAAAGCAAUGUAUAUCCUACUCCCUGUGCACUCGAAAGUGAGCAUUGGCAAGCCCCCUGAAGAACAAAUCUUACACGGUUGUUGAGUUCUUUAUAUUGGAUAUGAAUUCCCUGUUAGUGCUCAUGGACAAAUGCAAUGGAUGCAAGGUGUACCAUUUAUUAGGAUCACCCUUGCACAUCCAAAUAUCUCAACUGUCAAAUCAGCAUCCAAAAUGUUCAACGAAAAAUAACAUCGGUUACGGACUUAUGAUGAGUGGACUUGCUUGUAAAUCAAACCUCGGAUUUGAUAUUUUGUGUCUUACUAAAGGCCUGUUUGGACUCCCUCCUGCUCUCCAACUCCGCUCCGGAGCGGAGCAACAUGCAGUGUUAAUUUGAGGAGCUGCUAAUAUGGUGCUCCAUCCGCUCCGCUCCCGAGUGGAGGAGUGGAGGGCUACCGAACACAACCUAAGUGGGGGAUUACGUUCCAAUCGAUAACGAGUUGUACGUGAUGAUUUUGUCGAUCUUGAAAUUUGGUGACUCUGGUAUUCUCACUCGGUACACUUACUGUCCCUUUCGAUGCUUUUAGAAAAGAGAAGUCCAGUGUUCAACAUAGCAACACAUAAGAUCAGGUGACGCUGGGAAGAAAGCGUUACACCAUGAUGAGAUCCAAACCCGUGGAUUUUACAAGGAAUGCAAUGCGGGGAAGAUCUGUAACAACUCCCAGUUGAAAAGUGGGCUCUUUUGGUCUUCCUAUGAUGAAUUUUACAAUCAAGCCAACUUGACCUUCAAUUCUGCUUGGUCUCACACUCAUUCACAAUCGACGUCAUGUAACGCAAUUAAUUUUUACAUCAGGAAAUGACAUGUUUUACAUUCAACCAUGCUAGAGUUUGGAAAUUACCCAACAAAAGCUCAUUUGUUUUGCUGACUUCAGUUUAGAAGCUAUUACGUUCAGUUUUGGCUUUAGCUCAUUGGUUUCAGUGACUUUAGGUUCAUGUAGAGUAAUUAAAUUUUACAUCAGGAAAUGACCGAGCAUGUUGUAUGCCCAAAGUUGGAAAUUACCAAACAGAAGAUCAUUGGUUUUGGCGGCUACGGGUUAGGACAUAGGAGCAUUCUAGUUCUAGCUAAACACAAAUUGCCUGAUUUUUAAAUGAGUAAAUUUGAUUCAUGGGAGGAGGCCUCGGCCAGGAACAAGACAUAGCCAGCAAAGGCGAGUUAGAUCGCCGGGAAAAUCUGAUGCUGCCCCGAGGGUGGGAGAGCAGGUGGCGGCAGAACUUAUUUCAACCAUUUCAUAGACGUUUUAUAUAUAUUACUACUGGGAGUAGGAGACUGUCUAAUUCCUAGAUGUUUUUUAAGAAUGUCACAUCUAAGCUCCCACAAAUAUAUAAUGCAGCAACAAGAAAAAAAAACUAGGACAGAAAAAGUAGACCACAAACAGACCCAUGCUUAUGCUUAUUGGGUAUUUUGGUUUGAGCUAAACUUGGAUAUGGAAGUCUUCUUUCGUUUAGGGUGAAGUAAGACCAAGCUCAUGAGCUUAUUAUCCUAGGUCAUAACAAAUUAGUUGAUAGUGAUAGGAUCCCUUUUUCACCAAGCGUAACUCUCAGCGCUUACCCAUGCCGAGGGAAAGAUGCAACAGCACCAACUUUGGAAAUCAACAACCUAGGGGAGUAACUCCGGGCAAGCUCUAAUUUUGGUUCAAAAGAUUCUAAACAUAUUCAUGUUUCUCUUCAAACAUGCAACUCAAAUAUGAGAAAUGAUACAAUACGCAGUACUAACAUCACAUUCACGUCAGGAGAAAAAUCCAACUUUAUCACAAGAACAAGCAUAAGAUUCUCCCAGGCGGGCAGAUAAUUUAAAAGCUCAGACAAUUAACCAUUGUACCAUAAUAGCAUUCGAUCUACUUCGAAGUCUUGCAUAACAAACACAGGGAGGGUAUCAUAAUUCAAAACUGUAGCCAAAUUCUACUACCGAACACGAUUGCAUAGAGGGGACUUCAUCUGAUCAG